rnacentral:lncRNA from 1 species
CGAUCGAUUCGUGAUCAGCCCGGCUAAUCACAAAAAAAGCUAUACCAUUUUUACAAAUUAAAAAAAACUAUUAUAUUAGUUAAUAUUGGAGUAGGGAGUGUUUGGCAGGAGUAAGAGUUGCGACGUGGAAGAAUGAUGGCCACAAGAAGUUUAGAAAGGUGGUGACUAUUGAGUAUAAAAGUAUUAUCUUCCUGCUGUUCCAAUAUCUAGAUAUCUUUAUGACAAAAAAUGGGACCAGAAAACACGAUAAUUGUUUUUAUUUGCCGACAAUAACUCUCCAAGUACUCAACUCCGUGAUUAAUACACACCAAUUCAAUUAUAUUUUAAGAAGUUAAUUUGAUGUGCCAAUUAUCGAUACAAAAAAGAGACAUUCUGGUGCACAGUAGAAACUAUUCAGGUGGUUUGUUUAGUUUUGUAAAGAAAUUAUUAUGAACAAAUUCAUGGUUAGAUCCCUUAUGGAUAGUGGAUAGAUCAUUGAGAUUUUUGAAAGAGAAUUUGCAUCAUGUUCCGUGAGUAAUACACAUCGAUAUUUAUCAAUAUAAAAUAAAAAAAUAGAAAGUAAACAUUAUAUUGGUGUUUAUUUUGUGAAUUGUGUUGGAUUAGAAUUAAAAACUUUUAAAUUAUCACACACAUAAUUUUACCAUCAGAAUAAUUCCACUUCAAUACAUUGUAGUUGUUACGGUAAGGUUAAGUAAAAAUGAAAACCAAACUCUUAAUUUUAAUUUAAUCAUAUAGUUAAAGAAUUUCCAAAUAAGAAUAUGAACAAAAAUGUAAACAUCUAAUUCUAGCUAUUAUUCAAUUCCCAAAGCCACGUUACACAACAACACCAUCACAUGACUAACCACAAACAUAAACAGAAAAGAACCAGAUAGAAAAACAACAAGUACAACUGCAACAUAAUUAAUUAACACGCAGAUUUUUCAGCGGCGGGGAAUUAAACUAAAAUAAAAAAACAUGCAUAAUUAUUUUCAAUUUUCAUCCAUUUACUUCUUGGCAGUGGCGUUGUGGAUGGCCUGCUUCCCCUGCUCGACGUAGUGGGUGGUGCCGGCGACGACUGUGUCCUUAACGCCGAUCGCCCCCUCCUUGGUGUUGGCCACGAUCCCCGGGCCGGCCGGUGCAACCACGGCUGGCUUCUUCUCCUCGGCCUUGCCGCCGCCGGGCAUCAUGUCUUGGGCUUUCUUCAAUAGUCCGUCCAUAUCUAGUUAUAAACAAGUAGGAUUCAAAGAGAUGGGAAAUUGGUACGUAAGAGAUUUUAGUGUGUUUUGAUGGGUUUCAUGGGAUAUAUGGUACGUACUAGUUAUAUAGUGGUACAAAUUUUGGGAAGUUUGGAAGAUAUUUUGAUUGGCUUUUGCUGUGUGUGGCUUACAAUUGGCUUGCCGACAUCGAAAUGAACAGGUUCUACGUGAUAGUCUUUACACGUUGCUCUUUGCUGCUUUUUCUUUAACAUGAAUAUAUACUGAUAAAAGGUGGGACCAUUUAUGAGCCGGGCAGCUCGAUCGCAAGCAGUUCGGUUUAAAUAUUCGCUUUUGAAAUUGGUUUAAUUUGACCUGAUAGAUUCAUGAGCUAAUUCGAGUUCGAGAAUCAGGUCUAGUAUAUGGAUCAUUUGUAAAUUUAAUAAUGUAGUGUGUACAUGAUUGCUUCAAAUUACGUACGGUAAAUCACAUGUAAUUUGUAAUUAUGCUAAUGAAAAUACUGGUACAUCGUUUAAGUUUAAUUAACCAUCUUAAGUGGGAAAAGUAUAAACUUGUAAAGUUUUAGGAUAAUUUUUUCUUUUAGGUUUGACUCAUCGAAGUUUCUAGUGUACAAGCUUCCAAUUCUCCGUCCAAAUUGGACUCAUUGGGGGUUUUUUAAGAGUAAAGUUCGAGAUGACCUCGAGUUUCAUUCGCCAAGGUUAGUUAACGAGGCAAAUUUGAAUAAGCUCUAACUCGACAUAAGUUAAAAUAUUUUAACUCAAACACGUUUAAAAAAUAAUUAACUAAUAUUCUUAAACACGAUAAAUUUUGACUCGAAUCGAUUUGUAAACCGUCUUAAAAAUGAUGAUGAGUGAGAUUAUAUAUAUAGAUAAUUUGAAUGGUUUUAUGCAUAUAGAUUGAUAAUUUGGAUUAUUUUUUGUUAGUUGUGGUUUGCUUUGAGUGCCUUUUUUAACUUGUUGUGGAGUAGUCAUAAGAGUAGUAGCUUGCCACACACAGUCUAUACUCUGUACGAUGUGGCUUUAAUUGAUGGGAAGCCAAUCAAGAUCAUGGGUUGGUUUUUGUCAGCUUUUAUAAUAAUCUGACUGAAUUAUUUGAUUUUGAGUCAUAAUAUCUAACCGAAAAAUAUUUAGGAUAGGACCAGAAAAAGCCAACACAAGUAUAGUUGCCGACAUACNNNNNNNNNNNNNNNNNNNUAAUAAUGUCGACCACUGAGAGGUUUUGUGGAUAUGCUUUCGAGAUGCCUCAUAGCCAAUGCCAUAUUUUGCUUCUUCUUGGAAUUAUUUGUAAAAAUAUACUAAACCUACGGAAAUANNNNNNNNNNNNNNNNNNNNNNNNNNNNNNNNNNNNNNNNNNGGAAAUAUUAAAGUCGAUAAUCCGGAUUUGAAGGGUGCUUUGGUCUCAUUGUUUGUUUUAAGUAAAUUUUUAAAAUAUUUGUACAGUUCUCCAUUCUUAAUAUAGCUUACUUUUGUUGAUAAAAAAAAAUAAGGGGAACUAAUUUUUUCAUUUUCACCAAAUUCUAAUUUUAUUCCACAUUCCGCCUCAUAAAAUACCAACAGAUCACUAAUUUAUGAGGAAUGAGUGUUUAAAAAGAUACAUAUGUUGAUUUUAUGUUUAGCGAUGUGUGAUACACGAUUAAGUAUAUAAUUUACCAUCACAUUUUGUCGUACGUUGAUGUUUACGUUUACCCAUUUUGAUUGAUCCAAUGUAUAUGCUAUGAGUUUUUCAUGUUCCCCGCAUCCUCGGCUCGUUCAUUUCACAAAUAUAGGUUAGGUGCAUGAAACAGAUUUNNNNNNNNNNNNNNNNNNNNNNNNNNNNNNNACAGAUUUUAAUAUUAAUCGAUACAAUCCUUUCCAUAUAACUCAUUUUUAAAAAAUUUAGCUUCAAAGAAAAUGAUGUCCAAAAGAUUAUAAGCUCGAAUGCAUGACAUGUACCAUAAUUAGUUAUGUGAUACUAAUCAAUUAUCCGCGGCAGAAGUGUUAUUAAUUAAAAUAAAGAUCGAUUUAGUCUUCGGUUUUAGACAUUUUGGUGGUCGAAUACAAACUCUUGAUGAGUAACACAAAAUCCAAAUCCAAAAUCUAAAAUCCAAAAUUGAAAACCCAGUACUCUAGACGCUAAACUUUAAAAUCCAAAAUAAAAAAUCGAAACCAACCACUAAACCCAAACUCAAACCGAAACAAAUAAUAAAUUAAAUAAUUUUGUUGAAAAGACUUCCGUGUCCUUCUUAUGCAGACGUUAGAUCUGUCAAAGUGCAAAACCCAUAAAAUUUAACGGUCUAGAAUCAUCCUGGAAUGUUUUUCCGCCUGGAUUUUAAACCUGGCUCAAAAAGCUCGAUAGAACGAAUCGGGUAGAGCAACCGUAUAGAAUGUUUAUAUUGUUUGAUGUGCGUUAAUGAGAGUAAUGUUUUAAUCUCCCCGUGGCGAGCCCUGAGUGACUUGGGGGUGUCGAGACUAAUCAGGGUCGUUUGAGCGUCCAACUGUAAUCGAGGGAGAAAUCCUAGCGGGAAGGAAACCUUUCGACAGUUCGGCGCCUCGAGUGGCCAAGCUGUUGCUCCGAGGCUGAUAUAACUGAGAUUUUAUAAGUUAAUUAAAUUAAAAACAUGUUUUAAUUUAAUUAAACAAAUACCAUGAAAUAGUGAAGCAGAAAAAUCAAAACAGAAACAAAACACCACAAAAUGUGAGUACAAACUGGAAAAAGAAACACAUUACGGAGGUCGAUCGGUGAAGACGGUAGGGUAGUGAGCAUUUAAAUUGUUUCUCCUUCACUUUGUUUUAUUCCGAUGAUUUGAGUAAACAUCAAAGCUGUCCGAAACCGAUAGGAGAUACGAAUCUAGAGUCGUUCCCGAAAAACGCAUUGGCCGAUAAUUUGGUGACGAACUCCGUCGGGUGGAAGCCAUCCCAAAACAAAUGCUCGUCUCGAUUCUGACAAAGUGUAGAUGUUUGGUUGCACACCCCGCUUCCUUCUCCGCAACACGGGACUUCCACCUCCUUCAAACCUGCACAUCGGUUGUUCCAAGUAUGGAUAGUUGAUAUUCAUUAUUUGUUUUAGUAUAUAGUUGAGUCAUUAUUAACUAUAUUUUUACCAAAAUCGGCACCGUGGCUGAUGAAAUCCAUAGUGAUGUUGAAGGCGUUACCGAGGGAGAACUUAACGUCGGGAGCUAACUCCGCAAGCUUCUUAGAUGCCAGAGUGAAGCCGUCGAAGAAAGCUUGAGCCAGCAAAUUCGCUCCAUCGAAGCAGCCGCUGGUUUCAUUGAACGAUCGCGCAAAUGGGCAGCACCCAAGUGCCGGAAUCAUCACUAUGGCGAACUUCUUUGCUCCUUUUAUAUACAAUUCCUGCCCAAUGUAACGUAUUUCGGUAUCAUUCAUUCCGAAAUCAUUUUCUAACCACUCAAAUUAUAUUGAGAUUAAUUGGUCAAUAGUAUUAAAUAUUUUAUUUUAUUAUAGAUCCCACUUUACCAAAAAUCUAGCUAACCUGAAGAUGGCCUCCGUAUUCCGUAAUCAAAGAGGUGACCAACUCCUCGCCGGAGACGUUGAAAUUGGGAGCAGCGGGGAAGGAAGAGAUAUUCCGUAGGUAAUCGAAGAUGUCGUUGCUUCCAACGCUGAUGAGAAACACGGACUCCGCGAUCAGCUUGGCGGCUGCUGUCGGCCCUAACAAUGCUGACAGGUUUGCGGCUACCGUCGUAAAUUGUUCUAUCUGGGUUUUCAAAGGAACCACCUGCAAAACAUUUUGAUCCACCGAGAUUUGAGUUAUAGUACCAACAAUUUUUUGUAUCAGAUAUAUCGAACUGGUAAGGCUAAUUCAAUACUUACUCCGAUGGUAGAGCCGGUCGAGUCGAAAAUUCCACAGCCGGCCGAGGCGAAGUUGACGCCCUUCGUUAUGGUUUCGUUGAAUUUUUUACUGCAGGCCCCGCCGGCGACGAGAGAGAGGAACGGCGGCGGACUUCCGGUGAACCCCAUUUUCUUUCCUGUCGCGGGAAAAAAUGAAAUAGAAUAACGGUUAGUUCUACAUAGUCAAUGUGAGCUGUGAUCGAGCCCACGGGCCCAACAUGGUCUAUGGUAGUAAGCCCUCAAGCUCAAGAAGGAAGCUGCUGUUGAUUAGAGCGGGUCACGAAUCGCGCUGGGCCCAAUUUAGGUUCGUUAAUGUUUAGCGAAUUUGAGCAAGACAAUUUUGGUUUGUGUCGAGUUUGAGCUGACUCGUUAAAUAUCAUUGACGGGUCAAACUCGAGGUCAGCUCGAACUUCGUUCAUAAAAAUCUCUAAUGAAAAUCUAAUUUAAGCAAAAUUUAUAUGGAUAAGUCAAGUUAAAAAGGUGCUAUGAUGGUUACCAAUUUGGUCAGCAAGAUUGAAGCCAUUGCUGAACCUUCCAAUGGGCAAAGAAGAAGAAGAAUCAAUGCCAUAAAACGGGAAGCUAGCGGUCGCCGUGCUGGCCGGCAAGUAAUCAUUGGUCCCGACAUCGACUAUCGAGUCCCCAAAUACGUACACCGCCGGGAAAGUACAAGCUGACGGCGAUGAGCAUGAAACACAGAUGUGGUUGUUAUCAAUAUUGAGAACCAAGAAGCAAACAAGUAGUAUUGCCGACAAAACCCUGAAUUUCGUCGCCAUUAAUUUUUCAAUUCCUUUGUGUUUGGUUUGGGGGUUCUCGAUCCUGGGCGGCUCCUAUUUAUAAACGAGACACGUGUCUUUGAAUUCUAUGUCGAAUAUCUAUUUGCGGCUGAUUAAUUUACAAUUUACAUGUUUGUUUUUCUUUUCUCGUCCGGUUAUAAUUUAAUGUUACUUCAGAGGCGAGUUUUACGAUUGGAAGAACAUUUAGGUGUAGACGUCCAAGCCCUAGGUCGUCGGCGGAUCUUGUUAGAUUUUGUACUUUGGUGUUCUGUUUCUUCCUGCGGAAUGGACUAAUGAAGUUUUGUCAUUUUGAUUUCACUUUUUUUAUAUAGAGUUUUAUCGUAAAACCUUCAAUGAUAGAUUGUAAUCAUUAGUAAAAAAUAAAAUAGAAUAGCGCAACAUUUAAAUAAACAGUACGGAAAUAAUCAACAUUCGCAAAGAGAAGGUUAAACGCAGGAUGGAAACCAAAGGGAAGAGAGUGCUCAUAGUGGGCAAGGACAUUCACGACGUGCGCGGUUGCUUUCACGAAAAAGUGUGUGUGAUAUGCACAACUCAAUUUCUCUUCAGGAGUUGCUGCGUCUCCAUAAUGUAAGAGAGAUGUCGAAAAUCAUCAGAAGGGUGAUCUCCCAGAACACUUGAAAUUGUACAUUGAGAAUCCAGUUGCAAGGUCACCUUUCAAAAGCCCCGAUCCCAAGCAAGUACAGUAGGGUUUACAAGGAGAGAGUGAGUGAACUUCGCAAGUAUAGACCUUAGAGAGUGGUUUACAAAUGAUUAUUUUCUGAGUUGCGCGAUAAUUAGUGGUUUGGGAGAGCGGCUUAGCUUGUCACCUAAAAUUUAUUACGAUCUACUGGUCUAGUUGGUUCGCAAGUUUGAGUCAACUCGAAUCGAGCUAUGAAGACGAAUCAAAAUUACCUCAAGUUCAACUCAUUUAAUUUACUAUUAAAUCAAACCUUUUCGAACUUUAUAAUAGUUUUCGAAACCAAAUACGGGACGGCGGACGAAUAGCUUGUAAAUACAAAGAGUUAGCCGGUGAGAAUAAAUGCUGCUAAAUGCUGUAUAUUAACCAACGGGCAAAACAAAAGCAUACGUGGGGAAUCGAUAAGAAUUAAGAUGAAUAAGAGUACAAGAUGAUCAUUUGAUCAUGCACUUCGAUGUAAUAUGUCGGAUGACUUCUGGGGACUAUACAUUACUUUAAAUAAUGACACACACUUCUUACCAAUAAUAAUAAUAAUAAUAAUAAUGACACACACUAACUACACUUUAUAUUAUUAUUGUAUUCUUCCGAACAACAUUGGUGUAUUUUAGGACAUUUUGGAUAGUCAUGUUUGGAAUUUUUGGGUAUAUUUUUCGUGUGGAUUUACAGUAUAUGAUUUUUUUACGAUAAUUCGAUAAAUAUCCACAUCACAUGCAGACGGUAUCAUAAAUACAUAGCUACCCCUUUACAUAAGUCAGUCAGUGAUAAAACGAUCAGCAUUGUCACAUUUAUUUUUAGUUAUAAAAUAUUCUUGUUAAUGUACGAUAAAUGUUGGUGAUAAAACGGUGUUAUAUCCACCACCGACGAUUUUUGCCGUCCUUUUCUCUUCCAAUUUUUAUUAAGAAUCGUUUGGUCCCAAUAAUACUUGAGUUUAAUAUAGAUUUUUAAAAUACAUAGAUACAUAGCACAUGAUUCAUAUUCAUUAUUCAUCAGCUGAUCAAGCAACCAACUGCAAAAACUAACCAUCUAGAUAGUACUUUAGAUGUUUUAUUUUCCAUUGGAAGACCACCCUCGAAUUUCAACAGCUCAACUUGUUAACCAGCUGUUUCAAACUCACACCCUCGCCAACAUCCUUCCUAACCUGUUCCUUAAUCUCCCCAGCAACCUUCCUCAGCUUCACAUCCUCCAUCAACACCUUAAUCCUCUCCCCAAUCUCUUCCCCCUUCACCAAGAAAUCUCCCAUCCAACCCCAUUCCCCACCCAUAAACCCUAGCCCACACCUCUCCACCACCUCCCCAUUGACCAUCUGAUCUCCACCAGGCGGCCACCCCAUCAUAGGAACACCAAACCACGCAGAUUCCACCACAGAGUUCCACCCGCAAUGGCUCAAAAACCCUCCCACCGAUUCGUGCCCAAUCACUUCGGCUUGAUCCACCCACUCCUUCACCACCACCCCUCUCUUCCCAACCUCCUCCGUCAUCUCCUCUCCCAAAACAUCUUCCAACGCCUCUUUGUCGUUUUGGUCCACCACUUUGUCCUUCACCACCCAGACGAAAUGAACCCCUGACCGGAUCAGCCCUUUUCCCAACUCCUUGAUCUGGUCUCUUGGCAGAGUCGUCCUGCUCCCGAAGCUCACGUACACAACGGAUUUCGCUGGCUUCCCUUCUAACCACUUCAACGCCAUUUCUGUUCCUGUUGUUGGAAUAAAAAUCACUAGUUUACCAAUUGUGUUUAUUGUGUCAUGGCCUCAUGGGUACUAAAAUGUUAUGAUAUAAAGUGUAGAAUAUCCUAAAAUUCAUCAAUAAUUAAACGAGGGGCUAAACUGUAAAUGACAAAAUAGCUACCACCAUUGGUUAUAGACAGGGUUAUGGUCCCCAAGAAUCGGAUACCAACUCAUUUUUUCAUAUCCAAUUAAAGAAAUUUUAAGAAAGAGAGAAAACUACAUUCUUCAUCAAAGAUCUUUCUGUACUUCCUGCAUUUGUUCUUCCAUUAUAGCAUGAAAUUAAUGACUCUGCUACUAAGGCAUCGAUUUUAGGUCGAAACUGGACCAAUUUAUAAUACGUGCGUCCAAUUCUGUCGAAUAUGUUAUCUGAACACAAAACAUGACCGGGUUCAAUUUAGAAUAAUUGCAAAUUCCAACUUGAAUAUGAACAUAAUUGUUUAUUUAUCGAUAUUUUCAUGCAAAGGUUUAAGGGGCAAUAAAGACAAAACACCUGAGCCUCUUUCUAACUUGGUCUCGAACCCAUGGGGGAUCAGUCCGAUGUUGAACAGAGGAGGUAAACGGUCAUCUACUUCCCCUGUUCUGAUCGCUUUCAGAGCUUCAGAUUCCAGGCAGUCAAACGAGUUUAUCACCACUCCGUCGAAUUUGGAGAGGCACUCGCCGCUGGAUUUGAACAAGCUGGAGAACAGAGUCUCCGGGUUCAGAAGCACCGGCGGGACCGACGAUCUCGGCACGUCUCCAAUUCCGGGGACUUCGAAUUUCCCGGCGGAUUCGAGUUGGGUUUUGGAUAAACUAGGGUAAUGGGAGAGAAAAGAGAACAUUCUGGCCGAGGACACGUAGAGGAUGUAGUUAGGGAUGUUGAGAGGUUGGGUGACGGAGAUGGUGGAGGAGAGUAAGGAUACGUCGGAGAACAGAGCAGCUGGCGGCGGGGAAAGGGAAGAGAGGAUGGAAGAUAAGUUUGGGAGGGAUCGGCGAAUGGCUUCCCACUGGAGGCAAAAGGGGUCGGUGGAGUUGGCGGUGGACGGGUCUAUCGGGAGGAUGUGGAAUUGCUGCUCGGAGACUUGUGGGUAAGCGGCGAGGAAUUUGGAGAUUAGUGAUGACUCUGCCUGAGAUACGAUUGGGUGGCUGGUGAUUAGGGUGACGUGGCAGUCUUGACUCAGUAAGUUUGCGGCUAGGCGGAGGAAUGGCAUGAGGUGGCCGGCGCCAGAGCUUGGGAGUAGGGCGACGUGGGGAGAGGGCCGGCGAUGGAGGGAAUCGGCGGUGGUUGUUGUUGACAUGGCGGCGGCUUUGAAUUGGAAUGGUAGUCGGAGGGGGGGAAGGUUGAGGUUUUGGUGAUCGAAUGAGCGACGUAGUUGGAUGCUUUUGUAGGAGUUUUGUCGGUAGCGGUGAAAACGAUUUUUUACUGCGGAACACCGUUAAAAAAAAUAUGUUAAUUGUUUCGGAAUUCAUAUAAGGAAGUUACAAAAUUUAUUGUUGCUCACUUAUAGGUUAUAUUUGGUCGCGUACAUCUUUGUUGUUGAUUGGUUGGCGUGAACUCUAAAAAUAUGUUUCAAUUUGACCCCUUAGACGAUAUGAUAUGAGCAAUAUUACCUCGUGGUAAAACAAUAUUACCAUGAACAACAUUCAAUUUGACACCUUUAUCUUGGUUGUUGGUUGCGGUUAGGAGAGUUUAAUAUUUCAUAAAUGCAAAUUUCAACUGUGAUGGAGUUGAAAGUGACUCCCUUUAACUGCAAUUUGCAGCAGAACUUGAUUUCAUUUUCAUAAUUAAUAUAUAUAGUAAUAAUUGUCUAAAUUGGAAUUUUGAUUUUAAAUCUUAUUUAUUUGUAUUAGCAUCAUUCUUCGUCUCCAAUUCAACAAACUUAUAUAUGGUGUAUAUAUAAGUUUGGAUCACUAUUAAUAAGACUACCCCACCAACCCAACCACUCCCAUUAAAUUAUUAUUGUGCCCUGUACACCCUGCAAUGGUCCACUGUGUUUAUGAGCAUUGCAUGGAAUGCGGAUCCAAGAUCAAACCAUACACCGAGCUAAAUAUUGAAAUUUAUAUAUCAAAAUAAUCCAUUUAUAAAUAUAUAUUUUUUAUUAUUUUUAGAGAAGCUAAUCAAGUGGCACACCGUUUGGCUCAUCUGCUGCCCAUUCAUUCGUGUUUUUGUGAUUGGACUGCUUUUUUUUCUUCCAUCGGCCAUUGUCAAUGUGGUAGCCUGCGAAACGAUUCACUCAUUAUUCUUAAUGUAAGUUGUUUUUCAUAAAAAAAAGUUGUCCUUAAAGAUUAAAUAUAUCAUCAAUAACUUUUUUUACUAACCAAACAGUGGGCAAGCUGAAAUUAGGAUUAGCAUAUAUUGAGUAGGUAUUUAGCCGAAACAACAAAAUAUUUAACCGAAUUUAAAAUUACCAUGAACCAUAUUCAAAAUAAUUAUAAAUAUAUAUUGAAAUUAGGAUUAGAGCCGAAAUUUAUCUAGAGCCGUGACUAUAUAGUCACCCCUAUAUCGGUCCCUGUAAUGCAAUCAAUGAAUAAGACAUUCUUCCCGUGAAUGUUGAAACAAGCAAGGACGGUAUAUAUAUUUCCUCUGGAACUUUUUCCAUUCACUUGUGACCAACUCAUCGGUUCCAGAAGAUAAUAUUUCAAGGACCAACUUUCCUGUCACAAAUAAUAGUUGUUGGCGACACUGAAAUCUGUCGUUGAUAAUGUAAUUUCCCGACGACCAAAAGAUUCAUCCCAGAAGGUUAGUAGUUUUAGUUCUAUGGCAAACGGAUGAUCAUAUUUCAGAUGUAUGAGGAUUUUAAUUAAUCGAACAUUCAGAGUUUUUAUCUUGGAUUUUUGACCUUACCUCCAACCCGUUAAGGUAAAACAACAUUUUUUUUUUAUAUUUUUCGAUAAAUCUGUCGUUUGUCCAUUUCGACAAAAAAUCCUCCAAUUUCAAAAUUUCAAUACUCUUUUUUCUUUUUUAAUUUAUGCUUCAUCAUCGUCAAUAUCUCCUUUUUCUUCUUUGAUGUAGUAGAUAAUCAAUCAAUGAUUCUUCAUUAUUAGUUAUCAGAGUUUGUGAUUCAUCAAACUUAAAGAGUAUUUGGUUGGUUUUCCAGUUAAUAAUAACUGAGGGUUAAAAACAUCAAUUCAAUCAAAUAUAAUAAUGGUAUUAAAUCAAAUUUAAUAACUUUUUACUGUAGCGGUUAUUAACAAUUAAACAAUAGAUAUACACUAACUGAAAUCGAUCCGAACUGUUGCCAAACCUACCCUUUGCCACGAAAAUGACCACAUCGAUAGGACACGAAGUCGGAGAAUUCAAAAUUUAAAUUGUGAAUCAGCCGCACAAAUACGGUGCGUUUUAGCUUUUAUUUCUUGUUGUUUAAGCCAGAAAAGAAAAAAGGGUAAGCAAGUCAAUAUUCUCUUUCACCGCUUUCUCAAACUCCCCGGAAAAACCUCUUCUAAACCUCCUUUCUAGAGUUCUCUCAUCAACACCGCCGGCGAUUGAGAUGGAGAUAGAUCCUCCGAUGCAAGCUUCCGAGCUCUCUCAGAUCAAAGACGAAGACCUCUUCAAAGCCGCCGAGACCGGCGAGUGUUCGGUCCUCAGCUCGCUCCCUCCGCCGCAGCUCACCAAAUCCCUCUCCCUCCGGAACGAUGACCGCCGCUCCCUCCUCCACGUCGCCUCUUCCUCCUCCUCCACGUCGCCUCUUCCUCCGGCCACCCCGAGGUACUCCGAUUCGUGAAUCGAUUUCCAAAUUUGUUAUGUUCGUUGCUAAUGCGAAACCAAAUUUGAUAAUUAUCAGGCGGUGAAGAUUCUGUUGGAGGUUGAAGGAUCUGAAAGCGUUGUGAACAGCACGGACGAGGAAGGUUGGGCGCCGCUGCACUCCGCCUCUAGCAUUGGAAGUGUUCCGAUCGUCGAGAUUUUGUUGAGCAAAGGUAAAGAAGAGGAACAUGUAGUGUUAGUUGGAAGUGCCCGUAGUUUGAAUUGAUUUGAUGACUGGGAGGAUUUUGAAUAGGGGCGGAUGUGAAUUUGAAGAACGAUGGAGGACGAACUGCGCUCCACUAUGCUGCGAGCAAGGGAUGGUUGAAGAUUGCUGAAGUGUUGAUUGCACAUGGUGCUAAAUUGAACGUGAAGGACAAGGCUUGUAAACUUUACUUGACUGUGAUUUGAAUGUGAAUAGCUCGUUUUGUGAAGCUACAUUGUCUUAAUACGGUUUCUCUAAUGCUGUAUUCAGGUAGGAUGCACACCAUUGCAUCGAGCAGCGAGUGUCGGGAAGGCGGAGUUGUGCGAAUUCUUAGUUGAGGAAGGAGCAGAGGUUGACGCUGUGGAUAGAGCUGGUCAAACACCUCUUAUGAAUGCUGUGAUAUGCGAUAAUAGAGAGGUGAGCUUUGGCCAAAAUGCUUUAGAUUUUUCUAUGUUUCUCAAAUGGUAGCCCUUUACUGUCAAUUGGAAGUUCUUUCUGAAUGCUUGCUGUAAACAGGUAGCUCUUCUUCUAAUAAGGCAUGGAGCAGAUGUGGAUGCGGAGGACAAAGAAGAAUACACUGUGCUUGGUCGAGCUUCGCGCGACUUUAGGGAUAUUCUCAUUGAUGCUGCAAAAGCCAUGCUUGAAGGGUGAAGCCUUCCCUGGUAACAUAACUUAGGUUUGGCUCUCCAAUCAGUUGAUUGGUUAUACUAUCCGAACACAUGCUUGUAUGGAUCCUGUAGCAGGGAACAUCUUUCAUCCUCGGUUUUAGUAGCUUCUCCAAGUUUUUUUCUAGCUACAUACAGUUUUGUUAACUCCUUUUAUCAGAAAGGUUGAUAGAAUCUUGAUAACCACAUUUGAAGCUCUAGAAUCUGAGGCAGUUUCCGAUGCCAGAAAGUAUGGAGGUAAUACCUAACUUGCCUCGGAUUCUUGAACUCACACACACCCAUGUGAGUUCAAGCCUGAGGGACUCCGCGAGCCAGUGAGAUGGCUCGAGUGGCUCGUUCGUCAGGUCUGUAGUAUAUGCUUGGUUUCGGCAUUAGGACAGCGUUACCGAUAAUAGACUUGAUAGUUCAACCACAAACACAAAAGAAAGAACGAAGAAUCUAUCGUCUCAGACUGGUAUAAGUAUCGGAAUAUGAAUCAAUCAUCACUACUCUCUUUGUUUCUUUACAGCUAAGGUUCUCAUGCUUAUUCAAUCUACGGGUACUAAUUACUAACUUGGUAGGUUAGUUUCCACACCUAACACAUUCAGUGUGCAUUUAUGAGCGUUGUACAUUGUUUUCAGUAAGAUGCCAAUGUCGAAUUAAAUGUCAUCCAUACCGGAUGAUAAUAAUUUACGGUUUAGCCCUCACUCGACUAGAGCUACCAUGAUCAUGUUUAUAUUUUAUACGUCGAACACAUUUAUGCCAUCCGAUUACUGCUUCAAAUCAUCCGAGAUUGCUACUAUGUGUAGUAAGUUUUCUACUAUAGUAAAUGUUGAAUUACCCGGGAAGUGAGAAACUAUAAUAGCGAUACUAAUCGAAACCUAAUGUCUGCAUUUGAUCAAUUCGAUCCAAUAUGAUGUCACCGAUCGAUUUCGACAAGAGUAAAUAUCGAAUUACGUGAGAGAUUACAAAAAAUUAUCGUGGUAUUGAAGUUUAGUGGAAAAUGGAAAUGGGUGAUGGAAGAAUUGUACUAUGAAUUGACGACAUGGUAUGAUCGUAGCCACAAGAUCCACCUAACCGAACUACCCAAGAAAAACAAAACCAUCUACAUAACCUACAAGUCCGAACUACUACGUAACACACUCUUCUAACUCGCACUUCAAACUCCCUCCCUCUGACCACCGUCAAACAAAAACCAAUGACAACCUCCGACGACCACCGCCCCCACGUAGCCCUUCUCCCAAGCUCCGGCGCCGGCCACCUCAUGCCAUUCCUCCGUCUAGCAGCAACCUUACUCGCCAAAAAUGUCCGAGUCACCUUAAUCACCAGCCACCCAAUCGUCACCGAUGCUGAGUCAUCUCUGAUUUCCCAUUUCCUCGCCGCCUUCCCACAAGUCUCGGAGCAGCAAUUCCACAUCCUCCCCAUAGACCCAUCCACCGCCAACUCCACCGACCCAUUCUUCCUCCAGUGGGAAUCCAUCCGCCGCUCCCUCCACCUCCUCUCCUCCAUCCUCUCUUCCCUGUCCCCGCCGCCGGCAGCCAUGGUCUCCGACAUAACCUUAAUCUCCUCCACCAUCUCCGUCUCCCAGGAGCUUCAAAUCCCCAACUACGUUCUCUUCACUUCCUCCGCCAGAAUGCUAUCUUUGGUAACCCGUUACCCUGCCUUCACCAAAACCCAGAUCGAAUCCGCCGACAAGUUCGAAAUCUCGGGAAUCGGAGACUUACCCAGAUCGUCGAUCCCGCCGUUGCUUCUAAAGCCGGAGUCUUUAUUCGCAACCAUGUUCAAAUCUAACAGCGAGAAUCUCCGCAAGUUCGACGGAAUCCUGAUCAACACGUUUGACAGGCUGGAAUCUAAAGCUCUGUCAGCGAUCAGGAAAGGGGAAGUUGCAGAUGGGUUGCCGCAUUUGUUCAAUGUCGGAUUGAUUCCUCACGAUUUCGAGAGGAAAUUAGGAGUCGGAGGAAGGAGGACGGGAGAGGUGAUGAAAUGGUUGGAUGGGAAGGAGGCGAAUUCGGUGGUGUAUGUGAGCUUUGGAAGCAGGACGGCUCUGUCGAGAGAUCAGAUUAAGGAGCUGGGGAAAGGGUUGGUUGAGUCAGGGUUUGGGUUUGUUUGGGUGAUGAAGGAUAAAGUGGUGGACAAGGAAGAUGGGGAGAGAUUGGAGGAUGUUUUGGGAGAGGAGAUGAUGAAGGAGGUUGGGGAAAGAGGGUUAGUGGUGAAGGAAUGGGUGGAUCAAGUUGAAGUGAUUGGGCAUGAUUCGGUUGGUGGGUUUGUGAGCCAUUGUGGGUGGAACUCUGUGGUGGAAGCUGCAUGGGCUGGGGUGCCUGUGCUAGCUUGGCCGCUUCAUGGAGAUCAGAGGAUCAAUGGGGAAGUGGUGGAAGGGUGUGGGUUGGGGUUUGUGGGUGGGGGGAAUUGGGGGUUGGGUUUGGUUAAGGGGGAGGAGAUUGGGGUUAGGAUUAAGGAGUUGAUGGGUGCUGAGAAGAAGGUGAGGGAAUUGGCUAAGGAGAUUAGGGUUGAGGUUAGGGGUGAUGUUGGGGUUGGUGGGAGGUGUGAUUUGGGUUUGGAUUUGUUGGUUGAGAAGUGGAGUACUUGAACAAGUGUUUUCCACUUAGGGGUUGUGGUCCAAUUGACAGGUUGGAUCUUUAAUAAUGUUACAUUUUUAGAUUAUGUUUGUUACUACACAAGGAAGUUUAAUUGAGUUGAUUAAAGAGCAUUUAGGAAUGUUAUGUUGCUUAAUGGUUACACCCACCAAACAAGCUUAAUGGAUCCAUUAUAGUGUACUUUUCUACUAGUGAUACCACGAUUACGAAGUCCUCAUUCCCACCAAAACGAGGUUCAAUCAAUUCAUAAUAACCACAUGAAAAUGGUACCAAUAUGGUUAACCAUGCCCAUUUAAAAUGAAUAAUCAUAUUUUCUUAGUCCCAAAAAUAAAAUACAAAUACUAUUAAGUGUUUAUACAUAAAGUGUUAAAACUCCAUCUUAAUAUAUUCGAAAUCUCUAACUACAAAACACAAUACGAUAUUUUAAUGGAGCAUGAAACACCAUCUCCCCCAUCUUCCCAGUUUAAUAUAUCUUGAGCCAGAUUCACAGUAGUUCCUCCCUAAAUUACCCAGCUCUGAGAGGCACUUAUUCAAUCAAGAACUCCACUUGUCAACCAACAAAUUCAAACCCACAUCACACUUCCCGCCAACUCCAACAGCACCCCUAACAUGAACCCUAAUCUCCUUAGCAACUACACUAUCUGCUUCAGAAGAUCACACAUGUGUUGCUGCAGAUGGCUUACAUAUAAAAGGAACUGCUGUAAGUAUUAUAUUUUACAUUCAGGGACUAUUAAUUACUCUAUUAGUUGAUAUGUUUUCCAAACUUCUUUUGCUCACAAAACAUACUUCCAUAUUUUCUAUGUUUGUUCAUCCAAAUUGCUGUUUUCUUCUUGUCCACAUUUCUGCUGUCAGUAUUAUUUUGUGAUUCAUUCAUCUAUCAUUCUAAACAUUAACACAGGUUGAAAGGUCACCAGAUGAUAUAGUUGAAAGCCUGGAUAUUCCAACAUCAGCAAAUGGGAAAGAUAGACAUGAAUGUUACCAAAACAAAACAUUAAUCGUGCCUAAGAAUUUUCUUUGUGUACCUGAUACCUUGGAUCCCAUGGAAGGUAAUAUUCUAUCUAGUUAUCAUUACGUUUCGAGUGAUUGACCUAACAACAAAACUGUUUCCCAACACAGAACUGGUCUGAUGUUUGUUAUACUACAGAGUACGCACCAAAUGCUCAGGGGCACAGUACAUGCUUUGACAAAGAACAAUCAUCAAUUGACACUUCCAUUUCAGAAAGAGUGGUUUCUGAAUCAAAUCAAGGAGAUGAAAUAACCACAGGGAUGUCACACGUAGGCAUUGACAAGGAAGAGCCAAUUGUAGCUGACACUUUCAUGUCUGAAGAAGCGCUUUCUGAACCAUAUAUGGAGGAUGAACUGGCUGCAGGAAGUUCAAGUGGAAGCUCUGCGAAGUUUGACUCUGAUUCAGCUGGUCAAGACACAGCAAAUUUAAUGACGACACUUCUGCUUCCACAAGCAAUUCCUCUUCUUAAGGAAUCCUCGGACAAGAAAAGGAAAUCCAAUGCCAUGGCGAAAAACUUUAUUCCUAGAACAAAACCUCAGGAGGAAAAUGAAGAAAUUUCUUAUGUUCAAUUGUCUAAAAUCCAGCAAACUGAGGCUGUUGUUGUAGACAGUUUUGAGGACAAACAAUGUGAGGAUUAUGUUCUAGGACAACCUGUGCUUCUCUCUGACAAUGCCAAAGAACAAUCCGGUGAUAGGGAAGAUGAAAGAAUUCCUCACACUUCUGACGGCCCUCUAGAUCUAGAAUUAAGGGAGGCAGAUAGGGAAAUCUCUGUACCGUCAUCCAAAUCCAUUGCUACAGGAGCAAGGACAACUGAAACCAAGAAGCAAGGCCUUUGUCCAGGUGACAGAAAGGUAUAUACGAGAAAAAAGACUGCUGCUAAAGCAGUAAAGCACAGUGAUCCCUUGUCAGAAAGCAUAAUAUGCAGAAACUAUGGAGAAGGUUGUGAUCCACGAUCUAUUCUCGAUUCUGAACCUUUGAAUGUCAGCCCCUCCAUUGGUGAUGCACAUCAAAAGGAUCUGUCCAAGGAUAGAAUCGGUACUGGAGGGCACCCCCAUUCUUUAGAAGUGGAGAAAAUCACCACGAGUUGCAGGCCUGAGUCAGAUGAUCUACCUAUUUGUGUGUCAACUGAAGGCGAAGGAACUUCAGACGUGCCUAUUUUGUGUGUUCCAGUUUCAGAAGAAAUCCAAUUUAAUUGCAAAGAUAGGUUGGUAGAGCACAGUGCCUUGGUGCAUAUCGAUGGUUCCUUAAUAUCACAGCAAAGAAAUGGGGAUGGAUACAUCAGGUGGUAUAGAAGUUCAAGAUAAUGCUGACCUGAAGCUCCAAAGCAAUUUUGAGCUUCACUUUAACUUAGAGGGCAUUGCUGAGAUUGUGGGCUGCUAUAUCCACCCGCUUCCUGUUUUGCAGCUAUGGUUGAGCUCACAAGAAAAUGAAAUCUACAUUUGUGCCCCAUGUGGCAUUCUGGCGGAUAAACACAGGACCUUGUUUCUUUAUAAGUUAGCCACUAAAGCCCUAACUGCCGGAUGCCCAUCCUUUGUUGGUCAUACGACGGUCAAUUGGCCAUCUCCAGUGCAUAUGUUUGGUAAAGUAAGAUCCCGUUUCCAUAUUUGAAUUGGAUCUUGUGUGCGAAUUUAUGUCAGGGUGCUUACCCUCGCGCUCCUCUUUCUAGGUUGCGCCGGAAAGGUCCAGUUUUCAACUAACCCCAGACGGGCAAUUAUUUGUUCUACAUGGCAGCACGAAAGUUCCUUGUUGCAGGUUGAAAUUUCUCUGGUUCACAUUUCAUAUUUCCCGGUAACAUAAACUAUGCUUCUCCACCUAACACUACGCUCAUUCUCAGAGAAGGGAGAACGGAUGGUUUAUGCUCUACAUGUGAAGCAGAUAGCUGUAGUACCAGCUCUGUGAAGAUUGUACGAGUAUAUUUCGGACAUGUAUCAGUCUUGUUGGAAUUGAGGGCAGAUGAAGAAAUCGAAUGCAUCCUUGUCUGUGAACCUAAUAAUCUAGUUGCUGCUGUUGAAAGCGGCAAACUGCAUUUGUGGACCAUGGAUUCUACGUGGAGGUGAGCUUUAUCUAACUGUCAAACGUUCGGUUCCCUUUCUGCGAAUGCUCUCCUGUAUAUCUCAUCGAGUACUGCACUACUGUUCUCAUCGUCUUAUCAAUUUCUCUGUCUGCAGCACUUCAAAGGAGGAGCACACUAUAUCAAACACGGGUUACUAUUCUCCUCGAAUUGUGGAGUUAAAGAGGAUUCCUAAACCUGAAUCUCUAGUUCUAGGCCACGAUGGCUUUGAGGAAUUUACACUAUGGUAUGUCCUUUAAUGCAUCUAGACAUGUUUAUAAUGAUUCUGUUCCUUGACAUGGUUCCUUGACAUUGUAUUUUGUGUAUGUUCUUUCAAUCUAUGUUGUAUCCUUACUCACCCAACUAUCAUGAUCAGUCUACUGUUCUGCAUUUUCUUAUAACCAUAGUAUGCCAGCAUAUGUACUCUUCUGAUAAACUCGGGAAAAUGCAAUGUUUACUAAAUUGUAAAGCAUCAAGUUUACAUUCCUGCACAUGAGUAGUUGGCGCUCCUCUCCGUCUCCCUUCAGAAUGCCAUUUUCAAACUGGUUCCGUUGCCGUUUCAGAAUGAGCUGAUAUGUAGUAUGCAGAUUCUAACUCUUUCCUGUAACUCUUUCAGGGACAUCUCCAGACGAACCUUUGUUUUGAGAUUCUCCUCUCCAGGAACUUCAAUCCAUGCGUUCAACCCUAUCAGCUGGUUCAGCUGGCAACCACAGCUCACUGCCCAGAGGACCGUACCAGCAGAAUGAUGGAAGCCACAAAAUCAUCAUUAACAGAUCGUCCGUUCCCUCACAAUGAAGGUGAAGAUAUCGCCAUCUGGCUUCUCGUCUCAACCAACAACGCAACCGACCGUCCAACAGAUGAUCCAGUGGUAUCCUGGAGGCUGGCUCUAAUGGCCCAAAAUACCAUGAUCCUCGGACCCACGUUGGAUCCAGGGUGAGUUAGAAUUUUCUAAGUUGGAACUUUGGAGACAAUUGUCAGUAAUUCUGAGACUUGGUGAAUCUCUUGCUUUUUUUACAGGGCAGUAGCUGUCGGCGCAAUAGUUGGCCGUGGAGUCAUUGCCACUGACGAUGGAGUUGUGAGCAUGUGGGACUUGUUGACAGGGAACAGACUCGGCAGUCUCCAUCAUUUCAAAGGUAAGCUUUUGGUCGGUUGAUUUCCAUCGAACUGAACUGUGGAGCGUGGACAGUGGAGCUGCACCUUUUGGUUCGAAUCGAAUUGCAAGAUUUGUGAUUUUGAUUUGGUUUGGAAAAAAACCCACGUUGACAGUGACUGGUGGUUUUGUAAUUUUGGUGAUAUAUCCCAGAUGGAAGGGUUUCGUGCAUUGCAACAGACGAUUCAUCAUCAAGCUCGAGUUGUUUUGCCGUUGGUAGCGAAACAGGUCAGUUAGUGGUCUAUCGACACUUGUAAAUUGGCCUCCAAGAGGCUGUAGUUUUCCCAUUAGGAGUAAUUUGUAUGUUUUAACAUCAACAUUUUUUAACUGCCAACACUGUAAAAAGGUGAGUUUUCCUAUCACAUUAUGAAGUAAAAAGCUUCAAGACAUAGAGAAAAAAGCUUUAACAAUUUGUAAUUUUUAAUCUCGUUGAAUCCCUUUGAAACCAUGAUUAUAAUAAAAAAAAUGUUUCGAUCAUGGUUCAAACUCACGACCACAAAGUUAAGAGUUUUGUGCUCGAGGAACUGCACCAAGCCUAGCUAACUCAGGAACGAAAACAUCUGCAUUCUUUCUCAUAAAAAAAACUUUGAAAUUGUUGGUGUACGAAAAUGGAUUAAAUAUAUUGCACUAAUAAACCAUAGUAAAUUGGUAUAAGAAAGUUGACUUAAUUAUUUUCAUUAUGGUUUUGCGGUGAUAAUCACCAAACAAUAGUGAUUUUAAGUGUGGCGGACUACCGCCACUUCCAACCUACCUGGAAAAUAUUUACAGUGUGUUGUUUAUUAAUGCAAUAUAUUUACUCCAUUCUCGUCCGCUGCACCCAAUAGUAAUUUUGUCUCCUGUCAUCGAUUAGCAUGCUGAAUUCAGUGACAUCCUCAAUCCCUCCGUUGGCAGCUCGAACUACCUCUUGGCAAUCGGAUUCAAUCUCCACUGUACCAAAAGAUCAAGAUCCCUGGAGCUAAGCCACUCAAUGGUAUUCAGUAAAGCCAUCGCUUCACUCUCUCUACCAUCUCGAUAGCCCUGGAAGCUCCGUUGUCUUGACACGAUGAGCGAGUCUGCCACGUCCCGGAUGACUGCACCACUGCCCAAUCGAGUCUUUCAAAUCACAUUUUGAUAACCAGUGAUCAGACCCCAUCUAAUACCGUGGGCCCAAAAAACAAGCCUUAGGCCCAGAGAAUUAUAACUGGCUGGGAAAUGAAUUAGCUGCUGCACUUUAGGGUUUUCAGAAGCAAAAGCACCCCCUAUAUAAACUCGCGUAGCUUCAGCUCCAAUAAUUGAGUCAUUCAUUCAUCUUCUUCGCCGUUGCAGUCUGAAAUGGUUCUUCCCACUGUUUUUAUUCGAUCUAGUUUUCCUGUGCUUUUUAUAGGAUCGUCUCUUCGAAUUCGAUCUGUUAGUCCUCUGUUUUCUAGUUAUUUUUCCAAUUGAUCGGCUCUAUAUCACGAGUCAACAGCAGGCGCCUUCCAAUGGCGACCCGACUGCCGCUUAGAGCCAAAAUUAAAAAUUUUAGUUUCCGGAAGAAGACCCUUGAAACCUAUAAUAUCCGUUUGUUUCAAGAUACAAUAGCCCGGUUACAUUUCUGCUCUGCAGAUGAGAUAUAUAAUUUUCUUCAAAUCUGGCUUUUCUUGAAAACAAAAAAGAUUUGUGUAUGGAGGUGGCAUUGAAGUCAGACACGGAUGUUUCGGGGUUGGUAAACAGUGCCCAAUUCAUCUUUUGCAUGGUGCCGAAAUGCAGGUGCUUCUUAUCACGAUUGGAGGGAGUUUUUCCUACUCUGUAACUUCCCUUCAAAUUCCAAGAAGCCAUAUCUCGCCUUACACUACUUCUUUUACCAUUUUUGUUCUUGCCUGAUUCUUUUUUUCCCUUGAAUUUAAUAUAAAUUUAAGCAGUAUUCUAUGUCAAUGAAGUACUAAACCCAGAUUCUUUCACCUGGCUAUGUUUGUUGGAUGGAAUUAUUGAUAGAAUUUGAUGGGAAGUGACCAUAUUGUAGGAGGAUUAAAUAUAAGGUUAAGAACCUUACGUUCUAUGAACUGAGCUUAGACAGACUAGAUUAUUGGAGUUAAAGUAUAUAUUUUUAAUGUUAUUGAUUCCCGUUGAUCCCUUAGGAUGGAAUGUUCAUGCUCAAACUGUCGGAAACCUGUAUGCCCACUGUGUGGCUAGAACCCGCGAUCAUGAGAUAAAGAGGGCUCGAGCCCACCACCACCCCAAAGUUAAAGAGUCUUGUACUCUACUGACUGAGAGACAACAUGGCUUGUUGGCACAACAUACCACCUUUCACGGGGUCGAACACCAGCUCUCUUAGUAUGGCAUUUACUUGUGCCAGGGUGAGAAUUUUGAGUUCGUGACUGCCUGACUGGAGGAAAGCUAAAGAAAACAGACGACAAAAAGAGAACGAAAGUGACGUGAAAUACAACUGCAUGUUUGAGAAGUAGACUUGCAGUCACACUUCUGCCGUGUGAAUCAUACGUUACAGAACAUAGAUACAAUGUUAGAGACAGCCAUGACAACAUAUCUUUCAAAAGAAAUCUAGUGGCACGUGGAAAUGCAGAGCUAAAACGUCACAGCAGGUGAAAACAGCUACAACAUAGACUUGGCAUCACUGAGAUCGAAAUAAAACCUCUUUAAUCCGAUACGAUUCUUGCAAAUGCCGAGACCAAAAUGGGAAAUCAAAAUAACACAGUAUAAUCACUCAACAACCUGUAACAAACAUUAUGCAGCAACUAACAAUAAAUAACAUGAUAAAGAUUAAUACUAUGGAAAAUCUCCGCAAGUAAAAACUCUCUCUGUGACCUUAAAAAAAGAUUAAUACUAAGUAAAGUCUUGCUCUACUUGGUGGCUCAUUUAGCAAUGGCGGAUGCUGGAGUGUCGGAGGAAGGGUUCAGUUCAUCCCAAGCUUCGAUCCAGGUAACCAUAGCAUCUGCAAGUUUUUCGAAGUAAGGAUCCACCUUCCCCAGCUUCUCCUUGACUUCCUUGGAGAGCUCGAUGUAGCAUUUCUGGACAGAGGUUGCUUCCUUGGAGAGCUUCACAGAUUGGAAGAAUGGGAUGAUCUCUUCCUGCCAGUAUAUCCCUUUAUACUCCUUUUUCAGGUUCACAAAUGGGUUGCUGGCCUUGCUAUGCCAUAUGUACGGCAGCCCUGUCUUGAUCCCCCAUCCCAUAUGGUCACAGAUCACCUGCAUCGAAUAGACGAAGAUGAAUUACCUCAUAGCAAAUAGGGCCGGGCCAAUCUGCAAUGUGGUGACUAUUAUCGAUAAGCAGUAAAGAUUGUUUCUUUCACCUUAACCAACCCUAAACCCAGUAGACUAUAUAGUCUAAUAGGGUCAAAUCUACGAUACGAUGACUAAUGUUGAUGAGCAGUAAAGACCGUUUCAUUUACCUUGACACACCAACCGGCCCACAUGUCAUCGUAUCGGCCGAUUGGCUGACCAUCUCCCAUUAGUCCAAAGUACAAUGCAGGUCCGACGAGUUCACGGUCGAACGCUAAGUUCAUGCCACACAUUGGGAACAGGGUUCCCUUGGGGAUCGUCAGGACAGCAUCAACAUACCUGCAUUGUCCAUAAAAUUAAAUCCCAUAACAUUAAAUCAUUAAAAUCUAGAAACCCCCGAAAACAAUUCAUCACCAAGGGCAUGAAAUACUGGCGAAACCUACCUGGUGUUCCUUUCCAGUGGCUUCACAAGCUGAGUAGGAGCAUCAUAAUCAGGGAUGUUAAGCCACAGACCAUGAGAGACUGCAGUGGUAACACCUUCACGGAGACUGAAAGGAUACCCGCGAACAAAGUCAGCACCUUCUCUGUACGGAUCGUAGAGGGUGUUGAAGAAGUGUGGAGUCGAUGGAGACAAAAGGUUUUUGAUGUGCUGCUCCAGUGCAUUGAUCUGCUGUCCCGAGGGAUCCGAGGCCACCUGCAAUCAAACAAAAUCACACAACAAGCCUCUCAAGAACAGAUUAAACCCUAUGAAAUCAAGCUGAGAGGGCCAUGAAUUGAAAGUUGAUACCAGGUCUGCUUCUUAUAUAUCAACAAGGACUUGCCAUUUUGAACUUGUUCAAGCCCAUGAACCACAUUCAAGCUCUCCAAUUCGCUAUCACUAAUCUCUUUCGGGGAAAGCCAAUCACUCUCCAAGAUUAUAAGUAUUAAGGAAUACAAUAUAAACCAAUUUUGAACUUGUUCUAAACAACUCGAGUUAUUAGAGCCUUUGAGUGAAAGUUUGAAUCAUACUAGUGCCAACAUAACCAAUUCAGGUGCACGAUGAUACAUAGACCAAAUCGAGUUAUUAAGAUGCAAUGGUUCUCUAUGCUGAUCAAUCAUCUUAACCAGUCAUCUAAUCACAGAGAGUUCAGAUCGAGAACUAGCUAUCGAAAUUAGACAGUUGACAGUAAUCAUUAACAAGCAAGCAACCAAGUCAAACGCAAGUCAAAACACACAAUCAAUUCAACCAUAAUGUUUUUCAAAUUUUCAAUCAAGAGUGAAUAACUUACGAAGCAAUCGUCAUCAAUGGUGUAGAUGUACUUCUUCUUGGACACCAUGAACCCGAAGCACCUGCAAGCGGAAUCCUUGAAGGAAAUGCAAGAAGCCUUCGGACCCAGAAUCCUGUUGAUGUCGUUCCUGUUGUAGAGUUCAUAGUCAAAUCCUUCGGGGACUUUGAUGACCUUGGACGGAUCCCCAUCUUGGACGAUGAUGAGAUGGUAAGGCUGGAAGAAGGGCCUCCAUUUCUCCAAGAAGUCCAGGUUCCGGAUCGUCGGGAUCACGAUAUCAAGCUCGUCUUGAACUGGAAUACAAAAAUCAAGUAUAUAACCAUAAUCCUAAACCGAGUACAACAAACUUAAUACUAAAAAUUAAGUACAAAUUAAACGAUUGAGUACAUAACCCACAACAACAAUUAAAUAAAGUACAUAAGCUUAACAAAAAAAAUUAAACCGAAUAUAAAACCUUAACAAACUGAAUGCACUAACAAAAUCAAAACAAAAAGAACUUAGAGAAAUGAAGAGGCAAUUAAAAAUAUGAGAGUGACAAUUAAGAAUUGACUCCACGAAAAAAGGAUGAGAGUGAGGAUGAGAAGAAGAGAGUGAGGAUGAAUGGACUUCCAAAAGAAAGAAGAAAUAGAGAAGAAGAAGAAGAAGAAGAGAAAAAGAAGUAAGAAAAUGAAAUAAAAAGCCAUGUGAGCGGUUAGAUUGAAUAAUUAAAUGGACAGUUGAGAUUUUUCCUUGCUGCGGCAAGGAUUUCUAUCUUAUUUGUUGUUGACCCGUAAUCGUCAUGGAUCUCUGCUUUGUUUUUUUCUCCAGUUUGAUGAAUGUUGGAUUGUUGGGCUUAUUAGAUAAAAUAUCAGAUGCUUAUAUGGGCUAUUAGGCUGGGCCUAUAACAUUUAUUCACUCCUCCCUCCUGGGGUUUUAGGCGAUUGUUAACCCAUUAUCAUUUUUUUAAUCCAAGAUAUAUACACAAGAGAGUAUUAAUGAACAAUAACUGUAAAUCUGACGGGCCUAUGUCGAGAUCGAGAUAAUUAAGAAUCUAACGUGUUAUAAGGUUGGUGGUGAUGCUAUUUUGGCGUUAAAUUUCCUCUAAUAAUGAUUAUAUGUACCCUUAAAGUAAAUUGGGUUCAAAUUAUGUAUAUAAAGCCGGUGCCCCGAAAGCUUGCCCGCCCCAACCCGAUUUGAUCGGAUUAUUGACCCGGGUUUACCUGCCACCCUGAUCUAUUGGGUUUGGGCAGGGUUUCGGAAGGUCCAAAUCCGCCUCGGCAACCCGAAGGGGGUAAUUGUUAGGAUUUUUCCGCGAUUUCCUAGUCCCCUACUCCCCCUAAUCAAUCUUCCCCCGCACCGCAACGCCAUCAUGACUACAAUAGUAGGUAGAAUUUUAGGGAAGAAGGAAACCCAGAUUUGAAAUGGUUCAAUUAAAGGACAAGCCUGAGAUGCCUUAGUUAACUAGCAUUGGUGGUAGCUGCUAAAGAGGUACAUUCUGUUCAUGAGUUUUUCUUAAACUUAUCAUUCAUAAUUAAUGUUGUUAUGGCUUCUUGCAGGCAUUAUGAUGAGUUUAGAGAUCGCAAGUAAGCUGGUAUUGGAUGAACUUGAAUCUGAUACAGAUUCUAACCAUAUCAAUAUUCUACCACGAGCUUGUAAUAUUCGCCAGAGUUCACAUUUAAAUUUAAUAUCUAUCCUUAUCCGCUUAUAUAAUUCAACUUACAGUGUGCUAGAGAACAUAAAAGGGAUGUUGUAACUAACUUUAGCCAUGUUGCCUAUAUGCAUGGUUUCAUAAACACACUAAGUUUAUGUUAUAAAUUGAAAAGAAAUGAAUUAUAAAGUAAAAGGACGGAGAUGCAAAACCAGAGAGGUAUUUGUUGUGGUGAAGUGGAGGCCAAGCAAAGAAGCUUUCUUCCCCAAUCCAUCCCCUACUACUCUUUUAAUUCUCAGCUCUAAAGCACCCACUUCCUAACCCAGCCAAUCUCUCUUUCUUUCCAAACCGUAGCUGUCAACACCAUCUUCCCAAUCACUCCGCAAAGUUGUUUACCAGUUCUCUGGUCUAAUUUUAGCUCUAAUUUCCAGCGGGGGUUACGUACUGGCAAGAUCACUACAUUGUCACCCACAAAUUAAAUGGGAUCGAACGAAGGUGUGAUGAAGCGGUCGGAAGUUGACACUCGGGCGCCGUUCCGAUCUGUUAAAGAGGCGGUCACGUUGUUCGGAGAGAAAGUUUUGGCCGGCGAGCUUUACCCCAACAACAUGCUUAAACAGGUGGUGUUUCACUUUGUAGAUUGAUUAACGAGUCUGGACACAGGGAUAUUGCUUCUCGAAUUCAAUUUAAGAUCAAUCUGGAUCCUCGGAUUUCUAUAUGAUUUGAGGGUUAAGAUUAAUCAGGGGUAAUAUAGUUAUGUUGUUUUAAAUAAUUUUGUUGGACUAGAACCCAACCAUCUCCUGUCACCGGAAAGUUUUCAAUUAAUUUCUCGGGGAUGUGGACAGCGUUGGUGAAAUUUUUUGCACCCACGUGAUCACCUUCGUUGACUCUAUGUUUCUUGAAAACUUCUAUUUUUCUGGAAACAUUCUCCGAUGACGGACCGUACAACUUUAUAUGUAGAGUUGUAUGAAUCAUGCAAAUAUAUAUAGGUUUGUACAAACCCGUACAUAAAUGUAUAUACAUUUAUAUGAAUUUUUUACAAAGUGUAAUACUAUGAUAGUUAAUAAACACAUUUCUAAUGACUGAAAUUUCAAUUUUACCCUUAAACACAUUUCUAAUGACUGAAAUGUCAAUUUUACCCUCGUGAUUUCAGCCGUUAAAUCUAAUGCACGAUUUGUAAGACGGCUUAGAUUUAUGCGGGUUUAAUGGAUCCGAUCAAGAAGUCAUUUUAUUGACUUCAGAUUUGGACUGUUGAUAAACUGACGUCCAGUAUAAGGGAAAGUGCAAUAUAGCCACUGAAUUAGUUUUUCUAAUCAAGACCAUGCAGCAGGUUGGUCGUAAUGGAAAGCUAGACACAAUGACAUGUCAGCUGGAAGAAACAAAACAGAGCCUGGAAAAGGCAAAGGAGGAAAGCACACAAAUGGCGAGCUGCCUCUCCCAUCUUAAACAAGAGCUUGAACAAACAAAGCAAGAGCUCCAAAGACUCAAACAGGUGAAGGAAGUCCAGAUGAAGCAAUCGACCAUCUCGAUUGACCCGCAAUCCGACAUCCACCAUGGCCAACAAGACGUGAAACUAGUGACGGUACCAGAUGAAGAUGUGGAGUUUCAGAAGAAGAGGUACGUGACAUUUGCUAAUAAUGAAGGAGUAUUUGAUAAUGAUCGGAGGCUGGAGAGACAUCCUUCUUUGAGAAAGAAGAAGAAGAAGCCGUUGAUUCCUUUGAUUAUUGGAGGACUCUUCUCCUCUUCUAAGAGAAAGGGACACCAUCACCACCACCAUGAAAUUGCUUAAAGUUUGCUGUAGGUGCAUAGUCUGAAUAAUCUUUCUCGUGUGAGACGAUGACUUCUGUUGUACUUUUUUGGCCCCCAAUAUUCCAGUUCAAGAACUUGUACACUUACCAACUUAAACAUGUGUGCAUAGGUAAAACAAAAGAUAACAAUGCAUGAAAAAAGGAAAGAGGCUAGGAGCUAAUUAACACAAUAGUGAAAAUCUCUAAGUAUAAUUAUCUUCCCGAUAGACGGCUGAAGCAAUCAAACACCAGAAUAUUGCGUGAUUUCCAAGUCAUGUAACCAGUUACCGAAGAUCACAUACGAUCGAUACCAGUUACAGACGAUUAUAACAUGUUAUAUGCGAUUAUAAUCAGUUAUAUAUGAUUAUAUAUUACAUAUGAUUAUAACUCAUUACAUAUGAUUAUAACAUGUUACUCAUUUAACAAGUUAUAGACGAUUAUAAUUAGUAACUUGUUAUAUAAAUGAUCAUAACAUGUUACCCACUUGUUGUCAACCCCAGAUUUCCCGUCCCCGGCCCCGAAGGAAAAAUGGGGAUAGAUUUGAUACCGUCCCGUCCCCGUCGGAGACCUGGAUUUCUAGAUUUUACCCGUUUGGUAGAACAAAAAAAAGCAUGAAAACCAAAACAUAAAAACAUGAGUAUGAGCAACAAAGUAUCAUAAUAUCAAGUCUGUUCCAUGAAAAUUGGAAAUCAAACAUCAAGUCUAUUCAAACCCAGAAUUACUCGAAAAUAGUAAAAACGAAGGCCGCACAUCAAUGCUUCAACUGUUUUAUGAUGUAGUCGGCUGCGAUGAGGAUCAAGUAAUCGACUCCCCUAAACUGAAAGCUGAUUCUAAAACCACAUAUGUGAUUGGCACAACAAAGAAAUCCAACUAUUGUCGACAUAAUGAUCAGUAACAACCAUAUAUCCCUUUUUUGGCAAUUAUCCGACUACUUUUUUGACAAAAAUUUAUAACUAAUUAUAUUUUGUUAAUAACUAAUCAUAAUUAUAACCAAUUAUAUUUCAUAAUAACUAGUUAUAAUUACCCUUUAAAUAACUUGGUUAUAAUAAUAACUAGUUAUCAAAAUAUAUAACCAAUUGUAUAAAAUUUAAUUAAUUAUAAAUUAUAACUGGCGUUAAUAAAUGCUUAUAACUCGUUAUAUUUAACAUCUAACCGAUUAUUAAAAAAUACUUAUAUAAAUAAUUAUGAAUAAUUCCUUUUUCAGCUCCUAACCUUUUUAUGGCUUUAUGCGGUUUCGUUUUUUUCAAAUUUAGUCCUUCACUUUUGAAUUUUUGCAAAACAGCCCAUUGUCCUUAAUUGUAAAAAGUUCAAAAGUUACUGACCACGGAAGUAAAGUUCAAAAGUCUCAAACAAUAUGCAGAUUGGUCACUUAAAUUCUGAAAAGUGCUGGAUGGUCACUCUCCCUACCAAAUCUGAACAUCAUCGCCGACGAGUCUCACCGUGGCAUCUUCAUCUCCUCCUCCCCGAUGACGACGACUUGACCUCUGCUCACACCGUCCCAGAUUCAACCAGAUAUGGAGGCGUCGCAAUUUUCAACCGGAUCUUCAUCGGAUCUCAACCUCCUCUGCCGAAGUUCGUCGACUUAAUUGGCACUGGCAUUAGUAUUUCAGGUGCAUCCGUAUCGGUCAACUCUAUUUGACCGGGUAAUUUCAGCUUGUGAUGGGUGGGUUUCGGGUGGGUACCUAAGUACUGGGUUGGGUUUUCCAUCCUUAUUAAAUAGAAAAAUCAUACAUACAAUCAAUUAAUGGCAUCUCAUGCCCAAUAUAAACAAUAUAUAUAAUUUAUUUUCAUGCAUAUAAUUGUCUUCUUUAUAGACAUAUAUAAACUCGAUUCCUCACACCUAUAUAUCAAGUAUUCAUAAAUUUGGUCUCAACGACAGAGAGUUGGUAAACCCAUGCCGUCCUCUCACCAUAUUAAGCUCACUCCGUAUCAAACACACACUCAUGUGUUCAUACUUCAUACAAUAUGUGAGUCUUAAACACUUCUUCAUAUCCGAAAGAUUGUGUGACAUGUAAAAAUUUAGAGGAAAGUUUCGAUCUUCUUUUUUAUUGAGCGUGGCUCGAAAAUAAGAAAAUUCUUAAAAAAUAAGGAUAGAGAAGAUAAUGCAUACUCCAAUACAGAACAAUAAACCCUAAAGAAAAGUUGUGAUUUUAUUUACGAUAGAGCAUUUCUCGAACUUUCCAAUCACAUCAUACACGGUCCAGUAUAGAAUAUACGAAUCACUAAUAAGAACAUCAUAGACAUUACAGACAACUAAACUGCCAUCGACUGAAUGACUAAUUACCUUCUUAAUAGAUACGAUUGAAGCUUUGUUUACGUCAAUUUUUGGGUUUUCAUGAACUCAGGUCCAAGUCUGAGGAACUCAGUGGUCUCGCCGACAAAUGGGAAUCCAAGGGUUCCAGGAGGCAAUCCUUUCUUCUUGUACCUGAUGUCAUUCCAUUUGAAGACAAUGAAAAUGCAGGAGAUGAAUGCCAGGAUCAGAUCAUAGGCUAACCCAAACAAAGCCAUUGUUGAAUCUUGUUUGCUAGUUUGUUCUCCUGUUUCUUUUGAUAUUGUGAUGAAUUUAUAUGCCAUCAGGAUAAUCCUAUUCACUAAGUUGCCUUGUUAUAAAUUUGUAGUAAAUGGAAACCAAAUUAAUCAUAUUUUCUUUUACAUUAAUUGGAAAUCUGAAUUUGUUCCACUUCAUAGUGGUCAUACUUAUUAAAUAGUUAAAUCUUAUCAGGAAGAGUACCAAACUUUUCCGAUUCUGUUUCCUGCAAACUCUAAUCCUUUGAACAGAACAGAAUGUUCAAAGGAUUUGCAGUAAUGUUAGGAUAAAAAGUUGCAGCCUUUUGUGGGAAGCUUUGUCUGAAAUUUACCCUUUGCUAUUAUCCAUGAACCAUUUUAUAUCAAAGAAAAUUACCAACGUCUCGGUUCAAUGACUACGAGUUCAAUCUAUUUUUCACUUGUACCGGAUCGAGACUUCAGUAUUCAUAAAUGUACGGUUAGCAACAGUUCAGGUACACAGUUGAAUCGAUUUUUCCAUUUAGGCGGUUUUAAAUGGUAUCAUGGAUACCGGAAUCCAACUUACACUCAUAUCUGCCGAUUUUCGGUUAUAACCGCAGGCUUAAUUUUGAUUUUGAUCAAGACUUCAUCAUUCUCAGACCAACUAACUAGGCUUUUUCUUUCUAACGCAGUAACACUGCUGUAAUAAUCCUGAACUAACAUGAGAGGAUUUCUCUGUACACAUUGCAUUCCGUAUCAGGUCAAUGGACACAACAAUACUUUUGCAAAGACAUGGAACUCCAUCCAUAGCUUUCCUAUAGUCGGGAGCUUAGUUCAAUCUCUUUGGAUGCUGCAGUUCGAUUGUUACUGCUAUCUUGAGAGCAUAUGUAAGAAAGUGAUUGCAUCCAAGAGACCAGUGAAGGCUUGCGAAUCACGUCAUCAGAUUCAGCGACAUGUUCAUAUAGCUCGUCAAGGAUCGUGUUUUGGCCAUCUUUAGGUAGCUGGAUGAUCAGCUGCGCCAGUUGCUUCAUCAGGUAAGGUAGCACCUGGAAAUGGAAUGGUAGAAUCAUGAAUGUACGGUAUCAGCAAGUUCAAAUUUACUUUAUUUUUGUUUUUUCUGUAGCUAGUGUGACAGUUCUGUGAUGCUUACUUGAAUAUCGACGAGGGAAACGAAUCGAAGAAGCAUAUCGAAAACCUUCUUGCAAGGCUCCAACUCUCCUUGCCAGUUCUUCCAGGAAUCAGCAUUUUCCAUGGAGACGUUCGAACAGAGGUUCUGUGCCUUUUCGACGAUGCUGUGGAUGCAGUAGAAUAUGGCUGGGCUUCCUGCUGGGAGAUUCUGGAUCAAAUGUGCGAACCCAGAUGCCAUACCGUCGAAAGGAGUAGAGCCCGGAUAGUCCUGGUCAUGAUCAAGAGAAAAAUAAUCAGUUACCAAGAUUAAAGCUUUCUGAAAAUUUGGAAAUUUGGUCUCUUUUUACUUACUGAGAGAGAUUUCUGCACAUAGUAAAAAGCAAGUUGCUCCUUCAAUGAUACUGUUUCGCCACCAUCCGACUCCUUACCCAAAGAAACGAAUGCCACGAACAUAGAAUGCGAGGCUCGAGCUAUCUGCCCAUGUGGAUGUUCCAUAUAUCUGACAGCAUCUAUGUAAAGGAACCAAAAUUAAGGCUAUCUGAUUAAGAACAUCAUAAAAACAAAGUGCCUUUUGAAGGAUACAAGAACAUAGUUGGAGCCACCACGUUGCUGAAUAGAUCUGCAGGAAGGCGCUCGAUGCACGUAGGAAUAACGCGCAGGUAAAACAAUAUCCUGGAAGUCUGCACUUCAUCCUUCAACCAAGUAUAUUGCACUUGCUGAUGGAAAUCUGGAGACAUAUCAUUCGGAACUCUUAGUGGAUCAGAGUAUGCAAAAAGUAACUUGAUGAGAAUCGACUCUUUUCAGUACGAAACGUGUUACCUUUAGGGUUUGUCAGAUCAGCAUAACAAGGCAUGGAUUCCACGAAAGAGCUGCAAGCAGCCUCAUUCUCCUGUACACUUACAACGACACCUCGUAUCGUGUCCAUAUACUCAGGUAAGCGAAUACGACGAAAGUACUCCAUGCAAGAGAACGAGACUAAUAUCGAUACUGAUGUCUUCAUCAGAGUUUCGAGGGAGAAGCUUGAGCUCAACUUGUGCUUACUAACAGUCAAGGCAAAAACAACAACCAUAAGGAAGGAAGACUCAGCAAUUUUCUCAAUAUUCGCAAGCAACGGAUCUUCUCUACCACGAAGCAAUAAAGCUGCCCGCCGAUGGCCUGAAUAUAUCUCUUGGCAGAAGCGCCAAACCGCAUUCUCAACGAUGUUCUUGCCCUCUUCAUCUGCUGAGACAUACUGGUUGCAGAAAACAGCACUUACGGCCCCUGCUUCUUUGAAAAGAACACUAUUCAGGUGAUUGUUUACUUCGUCGAACUCCAGUAGUGGUGAACUGACUGAAGCAACAAUUCUCGUGUAAAAACCUCGCAAAGGGAAUAUCUCGGUCAGUAAUGCUGUAGCAAGAGACAGUAGCAGAGGAACUCGGGAAGAUACUGAGCCAGCUCGAGCUAAAGCUAAAGAAACACACUGGAAUAGAAGACUGGUUGAACCAUCAUUGACCUUAGCGUUUAAUUUCUGUGCGAUGGAUUCUAGCAUAUAUUCUGAAGAAGCCCUCAAUCUGGAAACCAAAUCCAACCGUUGACCAAUCGGAACCGAUCUAUUUAAUGCUCUGAGAACACCUCCUGCAGCCAUAAUAAGGGAAAAUGGUGGAUAGUCUGGUUUUCGGGUUUCGAGAACCUCUUUUGUAAAAGUUUCUAGCUUUUCCUGAGAACCUAAUUUCAUGAUACCAGGUAUAACCCAUUCUACCAAAUGCAAAAUCAUGAGACCGUUUGUUAAGCUACUACACGGUCCGUCUUCCUUUCCCCAAAUCCCCAUUAACGAAUCCAAAACCCUAUGAUAGUGUACAUUCACGGAAGAACACAAGGCAUACCCGAUCCCGGCAAGAAACACUUCAACUGAACGAGCCAGUCUAUAGUCUUCCUCCAACAGUCUCGAAACCAAAUCUAGACAUACUGUUUUAGAACGUUCCGAUGCAGAGGUCACAUAUGAAAGGGCACCUAGAAGAAGAAUUGUAUACGAAAAUAACACCGAGUCCUUUGUAGCUCCAUAUUCGCUCGCCACAAACUUGGACAAGACCUCUGCAGCUGAAUCUAUUACCAUAGAAGAUGGUCUAGAGGACUUCAUAACCCAGACAUAUAGCAGCCGGAGCAAAAGAGGAUGUGCUUCGCUAGGAAGAGCGAGUUUCUCCAAAAUGGCAAGUAAAAGCUUUGCUUGAGGAUCAGCAACGUAAAGAGAAUCUUCGGAGUCUCUCAGAAGGGUCAAAGACUGCAGGUGACGGGGUUGGAAUACUUGGCUGUGAAGGCAGUCUCUAAGAUCAGCCCAUGCUUGAAUGAUGUUACCAGUAGACGAAGAGGAAAACUGGCUUGUGGUGGUACUGCUACUGCUACUGCUACUGCCACUAAUGCUGUUGCGGCAUUUCUCCCGCUUGUGGUGGGACUGCUACUUCUACUGCUCCUGCCACUAAUGCUGCUGAGCCAUUUCUCGAGAAAUAGAGUGUUUCUUUGUCUAGACAUCUUGUUACUGUCACAAUUGAAAUUUGAACACACCAGUUUUUGUUCAAACUGAUCUAGAGGUUCACUUUUCCACCAGCACUAAAAGCAUUUGCUCCUCUCCCUUCACAUCUACAAACACCAUUCACAAAUAGUAGGUCUUAUUCAUUGCAGUAAUCACACUCUAACUACAUUACUUAUGAAGCACAUUGACAGUUUUUCUUUUCUAACUAGUUUUGACUACCUGGAAGCACAGAAGGAAAUCCAAAUCGACAAACAAGAGCAACAGAGUUCAGGAAACUACAUCACUUAUCUACCCCAAAGUAUCAUAUCAGCAUACCAGCUACCAAUUUCAGCGAAACUACGGAUUACGAGCAUAACCAGGUAGCGAAACGACUAUGGGAAUUGAAAGAUAAUUACCCGCUCCUUCAUGUUGAGCGAACGCAAUCACCUUCCCCACCUUGGAGCGAGGGAGCCGAUGGAAGAAUCCGAAUUUUGUUAUCGUUCUAUCCGAACUUUAUUGGGUUUCCCAAGUGGGAGAAAGAAGUUCAGAUGAAUGACGAACUCUAUCGAUGGAAACUGAUAAGUGAUAGCCGUCACAAAUUUUGCCCGGCGGUGUAUUUUUUGCCGGGGAGAUAUUAAACGGUCAGAGUGUUGAUGAGCUAAUAGUGUUGUUGAUCAAAGCUUACAGAAGCCAAUUGAUAAGCCCAAACUCAUGAUGGCCCAAUUCUUCUUUAAUUAACAUAUCUUAUAGAAGCCCAUUUACUAACCAUCCGCGGCAAACUUUAGCCCAGUAAGAGAGCGGAAGUCGAUCUUAUGGAAAUGUAGGGGGCGUAAGAAUGGAUAACAUAGACAUCCAACAACGUUUGAAAACUAUAAUCAGGAACCGCAUUAUACAAUUUGUGAUAAAGAUUGCGAGGGUACCAUAUGAGGAGAUAUAUCUAUAAUUAAUUGUACAAGAGUAUAUAAUGGUAUUAGAAGGUGUGUUAUAGUGUGUAUCGAGAAUUACUAGAUCGUGCUCACCUUAGAUGAUGAUAUCCGGAUUUUAUCCAUUCCGGGUAAGUCGUUGUUUUGAAGUUAUUGGGUUCAAAACCGAGCUAAACAUAUGUGGCAAUAAGACUUAUACCGGGCCGAGCAUGCAGAGUAUGCAUGGCUGAAUUCAUAGGUCUUUUCCAGCAUUAUCGGCCAAAUGGUUUUAAUAUCCGGCUGCCACCUCUCAACAAAUGCCUCCAGAAGAGGCUCAUUAACGUGGAUCGACAUGCACUGGCUCAAGUGAAGAAGUCUCGAUCCUUGCAUGAUCGGCCAAAUAGUCUUCGUCUGGAUGUCGAACUCGCUCACUGUGUCUCAUUACUUAGGGCGCUUCAGGAACCUGAAGACCUUUAGAUCUAUGUAUCCCCCGUAAGACUGCCACGAGUAUUGCACAAUGUGACCUCCAAAGUUGGGGAUCACUGUCGGCGUCUUCGGUCUACCAUCUGAACGCCCUGCAGUAAGCUCUCAAGUACGACUGAGUCCAUGUCAGUGCACUCCAAUGGCAGUCUCCUCCUUCCGGACCCGCGCAAGUCGGCUAGGUUUCCCUCCUCUAACGCCAACACUCACGGAGGCAUGUGACGAGCCUGUAAAAGUGAGGUGCGGAGAAGCCAUGUGCGCGGAAGUCUGUGUGUUAUCGUACUCAAUCCCCGACGGUGGAUCCUCAUCCUCGUCAUCAUCUUCCGGAAACGACCUAACCAGGUACGUAAUAGGAGGGUACCAGUCGGGGCAACCGUAGAUUUUCAACUUCUUGUUUUUCUUUGCUGCCUCUCCCUCUUUCCGCCUCGAAAUGGUGAUCACUCUCUCUUUCUUCCGAUCUAAAAUGCCCACUUGUUUUCCUUUCUCUCUCAUUUUCUGGAUCCCAUCAGUUUCUUCCUCUACCGGAUCCUGACUGUGCGAUUUACCUCCACCAUUUGUCUUCGCCAUAGUUUUCACCAAACUGCAUUUAAACAAAUGAACGUUUCUAAUACAAUUCGCUUUCUGCUAAAUUAGGUUCACUUACUAUUCCUAACAAAAUCCUAAACCCUAACUAAAAAUUAUCUAAUUAUCCUAAUUACUCACUAACAAUUAUUUAAGUACACUAAUCACCCACUACUAAUUAUUCUAAAUAUUCACUAACAUUCUCUAAUUACACUAAUCACUCACUAAUAAUUUUCUAAUUAUCAUAAUUACACUAAUUAAAUUAAUUAACUUUUUGAAAAAACCGGCCGGUCGGGGCCUCUGAAGGCACUUUUUUUGAUUUCGUUCCUGAAACGAUCGCUUGGAUCUUCGAUUUCUUUUUCGGAUCAAUGUUUGACAGUGUUUGUGAGAGCUUGUGAGUGUUUGAUUGUGUUUGAGUUAGUCAAUAUACACAACUUCUUAUAUGGAUUUUAAUUUUAUAAAAAAAUAAUAUUGUUAUUUACUCAAAUUAGGGCGUCAUUUAAUUCAAAUGUUAGAGCGUCAAAUAAAGAUUCAGCUUGAAAAUGGCUGCGGCGAACUUCUUGAACUUUGUGAGGCUCCCGCAGGCUGCGAUAGGGUAAGUAAUCCAGAGUUGGAGCCAUCUUAUGGACAAGAUGCUGGUUCUCGCCGCCGAUUUGUAGGAUUUUAAUCUUUUAAAAAUCAGGUGGAUGAUUUCAUCCGGUAGUUGUGAGAACUGGUCGACGGCGGCCGGUGAUAUUGUCUUCCUCCUCAUCUUCCUCCUCCUACUCAUUAAUGCCGUUGCUUUUUUGUCCCCCGAAACAAAUCACUGUGCAAUAAUUAAUUUAUAAACAAACGGUGAAUAACAUAAUAAGAUAAUUUAGCUUAAAUAAUUAUUGGUAAUGGGCUAAUCAUCUGUAAAUAUUUAUAAUUGGUAGUACGCUAAUCAUUUGUAACUAUUUACACCACGAAUUUAUAACUAGUUAUAAUCACCGGUCAGAUUCCUCCUACAAAAACGUGAGAUUGACAAUUCACAAUGGACGUUGAUAAUGCAUUUACAUUACCUAAAAAAAGUAAUCGCACCGAAACUUUCGAUAUAUCAGGUACACUAAAGAAUUUCACCUUAAUUAAGGGCUUUAUGAUUGAUUAAUUUAGAUUUAUGAUCAAAAAUCAAAGUUUGGGGUACGAUUAAAAAAUUGAUUUUAUAUAAUUUAAUGUUUGAAAGUUAGAAUUUAGCGUUUAAUGAUUUAACAUUAAUGUCUAAAAUUAUAUGUGAGGUGUUUAUAAUUUAUUGUUUCGAUUUAAAAUUUUAGAAUGAAUAUUUGUAAUAUUGAACAUACCGUAUAUACAUAUAUACCAAAAUCCACAUAUAUUUAACAUUUAGGAUUGGUAUAUGAAUGGACAAUGUAACUGUUUUGAUUGGAAGAUCAUAUGGUACGUAGCAGCGGAGAAGGAAAUUAUUUUGGGAUGGAAACGUUGGAUAGUGGAAACUAGAAAGUGUAAUAACAUUAUAUUCACCUUUUUUUACUCGAUUCAGUCAAUUCCUUAAUUUUAAAAAUUAUUAACUGAAAAUCAUAAAAUUACUUAGUUUGGGCCUGGCAGACUGGGUAUCGGGAGGAAAUGAUUUGGACUCCGGCCCAGGAAAGAAAACAAAACGUGACUUUUGGUGCAAGGUGUGGUCAUCUCUGGUUCACAAUUAGAGUUAUGGGCUUCUCUCUCUCUCUCUCUCUCUCUCUCUCUCUCUUCAUCAUGACGAAUAUUUCACCUACUCAGCACGGGCUCAAUACGAAAGAAAAUUUUGGAGCUCAGCUCACAGCGAUUUGGUUCACUAAAUUUGAACCUACACUCCGCGAGGGAGAAGAAGGAGACCAUCUUUCCCAUCCUUCUUCUUCUUCUUUUACGUAGCCUCACUGUGAGAAGCCCUCUAAUUCCAGCUAUGCCGGAGCUCACAAAGCUGCACUCGAUGCAGGAAGCUUCCGAGCACAACUCCAAGGACGAUUGCUGGAUCGUCAUCGACGGAAAGGUGCUGGCUCCCCCCUCCUCCUAAACCUAUUGAGCUUCCAUGAUUUCUGCUCUCUUCCACGUUUAUGGCGUUUUUUCACACCGAUAGAUUGGUGUUUAUUAACCUUGAUUGAUUGUGGUUUUGAUUUGCCGAUGAAAUUUUGAUGUACUAGUUUAGCUAGGAUUUGGGGAUUGUAGCUUGGAUAUUGAGUUCUUUCGAUGAUUGAUUACUCUAGAUUAGCGAAUCCCCAUCUUUAGUUUUUCAUUAACUUUUGUGGUUUAGUUGUAAUCAUACACUACAUUGGUUGAUGAGGUUUCAGAUGAGGUUGUGAAAGCUUACACCUCUCUUAGUUUAUUUUGAUAUGCGUAAAAUUAAGUAGUCAUUGGUGUUGCCUCUUGCUGGAUGCUGAGCCUGAGGAAAUUAGUGGCUGCAAGAGCUUCAGUGCAGUGAAACAGUCUGUAAUUGGCUUCUUAAACCAGCUUGCGAGGAAAAGCAUGACUAUAGUGUUAGUCUGAUACUCUGAUUAGAUAUGACAUGGUUUUAGUAUGAAAUAGUGACCAAUACGGGUGGUUUGAUGGUUUGCUCGUCUUGUACAUAGUUUCACUUACCAGAAACCAGACAGCUAGUAAUUUGUUGCAUUAGAAACUAUUUGAUUUUGUGAACCGCCGUCCCUUAAUCAAUGUUCAAUUGGUUCUACAAGCAAUUAGAUGAAGCUGCAUUUGCAUUGGUAUACAGUUCAUUGUUUCAAUUAUCGAAUUGUUAUGCAACUCUUUCCAAUUUGGUGAUUCGUCUGUUUCGCCUGUUGGAUUCUAAUGUUUGUCUUUCUGACAAAUUCCAGGUUUACGAUGUGAGUUCAUACCUAGAUGAUCACCCAGGAGGAGACGAUGUUCUCCUUCAAGCAACAGGUACUAUCUCAAACUUUUCCCUACAUUAUGCACUAGUUCUGAUUUUGAACUUCAUGUUAAACCCAUUGCAUUCUCGGUAAACUUUUAUGAAGGGAAAGAUGCAACCGAUGAUUUUGAAGAUGCGGGGCAUAGCCAGGACGCAAGGAAUGAGCUGAAAACCUUCUUCAUUGGUGAGCUAGACACAACGACCACACCAGCCAUCCCGGAGCUCAAGAUCAUUUCCAAGAAUGAAAAGUCGGAUUCCGUGAAGAAGCUUAAGGACUUGACAAGACAGUACUGGGCUGUACCUGUAGCAGUCGUAGGAAUCUCUGUGGUGGUUGGCGGCAUCAUCGUGUACCUUCGUAAGAAGUAGAGAAAAUGAUGCUGUUGAAUCAAACUUAUUCUCCCCCUACUAUCAUGCUAUAGUUAACGUCCUAGAAACGUCUUACCUCGAAAAUUUUGGAACUACUGCACAAUCAUUGUUUGGCUUCUUGUUCGAUUUUCUGGGCAAGGGCUGUUUCAGAUUCCGUUCAUGACAGAAUCGUAUGAAUGAAUGUUAAGAAGAGCUUUACAGUGAUUCGAGUGGAUUAUAAAUAGUGGCUUCUUAUUCUUAUGUGGUUACAAGUUUACAACUGCUAUAAAGAUCUAGAAUUUCUUAUGCACAAACUCACACGGCAAAAACCAAAGUUCUGUUCAUUUAUUCUUCACUUUCAUCUCCAGCAUCAAAACGUUCAGGCGGCUAACGAAGAGGCGCGUCUGUAGUUCUUUCUCACAGCCUUUGAAUCUUUUGUCGAGCCAUCCACCACUAAACCUUGUGCACCAAAGCACAAGUACUUGUUCAUCAGCUUCGUGUUGAGUGAUGUCUGCCUCUUAUGACCCGCCCUGAACUUGGAUGAUGCUGGCGAUUCGCCGACAAUCUGGUCUUGAUUCGAUGAAGCUGGCGAAGAGAUGUAAGAGAACGAGGAUAAAGGGCUGUAAGUCGAUUGUAUUGGACCAGAGAAACUCGGCUUUGCAUGUAUGACUCCAUGCAUCAACUCUGCGGCAAAUUUCCUUCUUGUUAAAGGACUUGGAAGAGCCGUUCCACUAACCGGACAAAAAGAGGAAAGCUUAGAGUAUCGUUUCCUCAAUGGAGGUGGACACUCUUCGAAGUUUCUGCAGAGAUGGAACGAGUCUAUAGACUCAUCGUCUGUGGCAGUGCUUCGAACGCUACGAUCUUUAGCUUUUUUCCUAGGCCAUUGGAGUAAAGACUUCAACUUGCUUGCCGCGGAAGCUACUUUACUGGGUGAUGCCUUCUUCUCCGAAUUCUCGAAGCUCGCCUGUUCACUGUAAUCCGCGCUCCCCAGCUCUCGGCUAACAUCGGAGACAUACUCAACACCAGUAUGCAAGAAUAUCUCGCCAUCCGAAAUUCGAAAAGAGGUACCAGGGCUCAUCCCUAUGCCAUGACCUCCCCCUUGCAGUUUCGAAACAAUGUACUGCCUACUCGAGAGCCCUCCAGCCGAAACCAGCUGGUUGAUCAAAAUCUCGGAAGCUGCCGAUCUGGGCUUCUGCCGCAAGUAAUCCAACGGAGUCAUACCCUCCGAAUCCUUGAUGUUCAAGUUUAUGGAUGGCGCGGUCAUGAGAAGCUCGACUAAAUUCGACUGGAUGUUCUCGAUCACAGCAAUGUGGAGAGCUGUUCUUCCGUCGUUGUUCUUCAAAUUGAUGAUCUCUUCAAUGUUGAUGAUAUCGGAGGAGAGUAUCUGGUUCAUGAGCUCGAUCUGCUUGUCCAUUCGACGAAAACCGGGAGUUCUGAAGCCCGAAACCGCCAUGUGGAGGAAUGUGUCUCCGUAGACGUUUGUUAACGAGCUCAGAGAUGGACAUUCUUGGAGUAGAGCCUUGACUACUGGUAAGUGACCUCUGUAUGCUGCGAUAUGAAGGGCCGAGUUCGAGUUAUUGUCGAUCGAAGUGACGAUAUGGUAUGAUGCUAUCAGAUCCUUAACCACCUGCAGAAACAAAAGAGAGAAAUUAUCCUGAUGAACUGCACCAGUCUGAAUGUUCGGUUUGCAAAUAUCUCGUCCCGAAACCUGGUUUGACUUAAAAUGAGCUAAGAUUGAGUUAGGGUACGUUUGACUCGAUAAGUUGGGGAGUUGACUCGAUUACAAGUUUGCUAUAUGUGACUUGCAAAUAACUAUAUCAAAUUUCUGUUUAUUUGAUCAAUUACUAUCAUGAUAAGUCGAGGUUAAUAUUCUAGUUGGAGCUCGGAUUCGCCUAAAAUCUUCGUCGAAAAAGAGUGAUUUUUACCUCAACUUGGCCUCUACCAGCAGCAGAAUGCAGCACUGUAGAACCCUGUUCAUCUCUGAACACUAAAACAUCAGAACAAUCCACAAGCAGCUCCUUCAAAAUCUCCAGAUUCCCGCCUCUAGCAGCACCAUGGACAGCUCGAUUCACAAUCUCCUUCUCAAACUCUGAUUGAUCAUUCUCCUUCAAUUCCUUCCCCGGCGGCGAAGUGGCGCUCCGUAGCAGAACCCUGAAAACCUCACAGUCCUUACUCCUCGCGGCGGCGUACAGCAUAUCCGUGACGCCGUACUCUCCUUCUCCGAACACAAGAAACGGAUCCCUCGCCAGCAGCUCAUUCACAAACUUCAGGUCGCCGGCGGACGCAGCCGUGUAGAGCAACCACCCGCCGUACCGGGCCCUGAGCAGGGAGCAGCCUCGCUCGCCGACGAUAUUCUGANNNNNNNNNNNNNNNNNNNNNNNNNNNNNNNNNNNNNNNNNNNNNNNNNNNNNNNNNNNNNNNNNNNNNNNCUCGAGCCGGCGGAUCCGCCGCAGGGAGGAGAGCUUGAUGAGGAGGUUGUUGUCCAGGUGGAGAAGCUCCCGGACUAAGUCGUAGUGUCCGUUCGCGGCGGCGAAGUCGAUCGGCGACGCGUACCACCACUGGUCUCCGGUGCUUUCCCACCGGAGCGGGAAAUUCGACGGCGGCGGCAUAUGGUGGAAAAAAACAGAGCACCGGAAGAACUCGUGACCGAGAAAAAAGUUUAAUUCUUUUUUCAAAGGGUUGCGAUUGAGCUUCUUAACAAUGGAGAGAUGGGAUUUGCAGACGCCAUUAGAGCAAAUUAGUGGGGUAGAUAGCCUACCAGAAGGAAAUUUUUUUGUGGAGGUGGAGAUUGAAAGUUACGUUGAAGGAGAGGAUGUACAGUUGGAUUUGCUUUGUGGGAUUUGGAUGAUUUUUGUAUCCUUUCCUUAUUGUGGAGAGGAAUUUUCCGAAAAGAUUUCUUUUUUCCUUGUUGUUUUCUGAUUGAUUUGUUCUUUUGCAGUAGAGAAAAGGAGUAAGAUUCCUUCUGUAAUUAUUAUCCUGUCGAGUUGAUUGAGCCACGCUAAUGUCUCUUUCUUCCCGCGUUAAUUCGUUAAGAGAGUGCGGAUCCUAAGACAAUUAACCACAGGAAAAAGUUUCGAAUUUUCGUUAGACUCACUAAUUCGAAUUCGAUGGAUAUGAAGUUCAUGAGUUAAUUAAAAUUUAAAAAGAAACAUCGACAAUAUGUGUAAAUUGAUAAUGAUCGGUUUUGUUACUUCAUUUCCAUUAAUGUCCAUCGAUUCGAUCUUCAGCCUACGAUAGCUAAUGGAAGGAAACUUCGAUAGAGUCUCCUUGAUCAAAAUUGUGAGGUUAAGAUUUUUGUUCGCCUAUCAAAUCAUAGUAUCCAAAUCUAACCAUACAUAAUUAUGUUCUUAUUUCAUUAUUUCAGAACAAUAUUAGAUGCUCCCAAUGCAUGGAUUCCGCACAUAAAAUUAAUCACUAGCAACUUCGCACGGUAUCAGAGAAGGCACUUCAGUUGAUCGGUGUGUUUGACCAACGUAGCUUCCUUGUUCGAAGAAACAAAGCCUUACCUUGUAGGAGUUUUCACAUAGUGAUCCAUCUCAAGUUCCAAUGUCGACAUAGAUUGGAGUUAGAAACUCCUUUGAGCAAGAAAACAACAAAAAGUUAAAUUCUUUGUUUUGAUCUCCAUAGAGAACUUCACCUGUAUGUAUGAAACCUGGCAUAUCAAAACUCCCUCAAGACCAACAACACAGCUUGCCGACUGAGAGCUAAUGAAUAAAAACAGCAUAGAAUCAAGCAUAUAAUUUUUACCAACACAAAGGGACGACUGGCCCAUCUCCACUGCACAUUGUCGGCUCUUAAAGCCAAAAAUAGAACCCACCGUCAAAUCAAUGGCUAAAACUUCAUGGAAGUUUUAACCUUUUUCAGAGAUAUAACGCACAUCCAAAUGCUAACGAGGAUAAACUGCCAAGAAAGUCGAGUAUUUGUGAUCACUAUGCUACUUGUCAUAUAAUGAGUACUCUAUUGUCAUAGAAUCUGGAAAGCACAAACUUCGCAUUCCCUCAACAUCUACCUUGUCACAUUCUACUAGAAGCACCAAACAAGUCUCUAGAGAGCCAACAUAUUUUUACGAGGGGUCAUGCUGAUCGGCACGAGUUCGUACUCCGUACAAAAGCACUCAAAACGACACAAGACUAAUAAAUUCACACAACAAGAUAAAAGAAAAAAACAAUACAUGAGAUCCGAAGAUAAAUUAUGAUUAGAUUCGAAUCCACAACCUUUCAAAGUGUUAAAACACCCACUUGAAAAAAGUUUUAACCUUUAGUUAUCUGUAGCAUUGGAUCACGAGGAUCUGCUCCCUUUACUCUUUCUCUCUUCUCCAAAUUGAGGGUUUCGGUGAGAUUCGGGUAUGUAGAUAGAUAGACAUGGCCAUGUGAAUAGAUCCGUGUCCCCGAGGUCAACACACUAGUUGCCAAUACAAUAUUGCAUCAAUCCAAGGAUGCGAGCCAAACCCUAACCCCACUUGCUUUGGCCAGAGAGCAGCUACAGAUCUUUAAAAGUUUGUCUCUUGUGAUCUGCAAAAAGGGUUCCCACUUGGACACACAGAGAAUGAAACUGGUAUCUAUCUUCCAAUCUUAGUAUCCGCUUGAUGAAAUGCAAUCAUGGGAAACAAGUUUCAACAAAUUUAGAGUUUGUGAGCUCACCCAUCUCAUGAGCAAAUGCAGUCAGUCAAACUGUCUUUCCCCAGAUAUUGAGUGAUGAAUCAUGGAAGCUGACAUUCACGUCACUGCUACCAUUUCCCAGGUCCGUGAAAAGUGAAAAGCAUUGACCUUUGCAUAUACCGUAACCACAAACAGCAGAGUUCAAAUCAAGUGAACUUGUUUCGAUAUGCUGGCUUCUCUGUAUUCAUACAUGCUUCAUGAAAGCUUCAAUCUUUUCAGCAGCAGCAAGCAUACCAUUAAGCCUAACUUCCUCCAGAAGAACAUUGCACGUUUGAUACCUAGGCUUUAUAUCCUUACUUAUCAUUUCCUCGAACAAUCGGUAAGCCCACUCGCAUCUAUCCGCUCUACACAGUCCAUGAAUCAAAAGCUUGUACGCCAACAUAUCGAGACUGAGAUGAUGCUUGUUCGCCAUAUCAUCCAACAACUGUCUCAAUAAACCAUCCACCUUCCAACUCUUCAAGCACGACUGAAGCAACGGACAGUACGUAUGAACAUCAGGCUUACACAUCAUCGAACUUUCCAUCUCCUUGAGAAGAUCGAAACCCCUUGAUGGUUGACCUUGAUGACAAAACAUCGCAACCAUUGAGUUAUAAGUCGAUGUAUUCGGCACCACACCCACCCUCGCCAUCUCUACAGCGAAAACACGAACCGCCUCCUCCACUUUCCCAGAUCUUCCGAGCAUAUGAAUCAAUGCGUUGUAGAACAACGUAUCGGGUCUACACCCAGCCGAUUUCAUCCUCUCCACUAUCUCCAAACCUCGAUCAUAAUCCUCCGAUUUCGUCAAAUGACACAGUAUUGUCGUAUAAGUAACAACAUUAGCUGGAGAUCCUUGUUCUUCCAUCUCAUCAAGAGCGCUAUACACCUCGCCGAACUUCCCCUGCUGGCAAUGGAACUGGACGAUGGUGGAGUAACUUAACACACAAGGCUUAACCCCGCAGCCUUUCAUCUCUUGUAACGUCCAGUAAGCCUCCUCGACCCGGUUGAUCUUACACCAACCGUGUAUGAAGAUAUUAUACGUGUUGGCAUUGGACGGAAUGUGUGCCUUCAGCUCCAAGAAAAUCUCGCGAGCUUUCUCAACUCGUCGCUCUUUACAAAGUGUAUCAAGCAAUAAAUUCAUCGACUCGGUACUCUUCCUCAGCCCGAAAGUCUCCAACUUAUCGAACAGCCUAACGGCAUCCUCCCACUGCCCUGCACCGGUGUACCUCCUCAUAGCCUUCCCCAGCGUCUUGAGCGUUACAAGAUUAUCUCGAUUCAUUUCGUGUAAGAAGGCAUUCAUCUGUUCCAUCUGCCUCAUCUUGCCCAAUAUAUCCACAACCGAAUCGUAAGCCUCGGGGGGUGACAGUAGUCCGGAUUCGAUGACUCGGCCCAUUUGAAAACGGCCAAUGCUGACUUCCAAUCAUCUUUGAAUCGAGAUAGCAACUUGGAAACGAGAUCUUGAGACGGUUGAAUGUUCUUACAGACGUUGUCUUGCAUUAGUGAUUGAAGAAUCUCGUUGUGGCUGCUGCCACCAUGGUCGUCAACUUUGGCUAUUAUGAAGCUGACAUCAGCCGGGUUUGCUGACUUAGUUUGCUCUUGUUCAUCGAAUCUAGUGGCUUGUUGGGAAAGAGAUCGGUAAUCAAAGGCAUAUAGGCCACGAGAGUUCAGCAGACUGAGAAAGGAUAUGGAAUGCCUCGGAAGCUUUUGAAGAAACACCAUGAAUCAGUUUGAAAUUUAUGCUGAUUAAUCUGCCAUGGAUAUGGAGAGUCAGAUAUCAGAAUCAAAAAUAUCACUCAAUAAGGUGUUUUCAACAGUGUAGAAGCUCCAAACUAAUACAGGUACGACAAUAGAACAAAAGCCAAGGAUUCACAAGGACUGACGAAUUCAGUAGAGCUUAAUAACGGAUAAGCUCGAUUAAACAGUAAAAAAAGAGCCUUUUUUCAGUAAUUGAUAGUUGGUUUUUGAAUACAGGGAUCAAAAGAGGGUUCUGGGAGAGACGGAGAGAAAAGGGGUUACCAAGUGAACUGAGAGCCGGAGGGAGGACUGUGUGAAGCUGUAUCAGGUAGUUGGUGCGACGAUAUAAUACAAACAGGCGGCGGGAAAGGCGAGCAAGUUGGAUACGGCGGCGAGGAUGCAAGGCGGCGGAGAAAGACGGAGCAGGGAAGUAAACUGUCGGCCAGAGAAGUAAAAAGAUGGGUCGCCGGAAGCUAAGAAAAAACCGGAGGGGAAAUGAGCCGGGCGGAUACGCGUUAAGUUAGAAUGGGCUAAAAGCCCAAUAUCAAGGCCCGAUAUUCACGACCAAGGAAAACCUGGUCGAGAAAGCCAAAGCCAAACAACAGAAAACAGAGCUUUUGAAACAAAGAAAAAGCCGUUGAUAAUUUAAUUAACAUUAGAAACGUCUGGUACUGAAACUCAGAGCCCAUAUCACAAAACCAAACAAACUUCAAAACCUAAAUUCCUCUCCUUAUUCCAUAUUAGCUAAAAGGGUUCCAUCCGAAAAAGACACCUCCGAUACCACAGUAAACAAAAGCAGGGAAAAACAUGAACAAUCGUCAUGACAUUGAGAAUCCACCAAAAGCUUCAGACGCCAUUUCCACGUCCUAGUCUCUCAGCCCCUUCAAAGGCUCUUCGCCAUGUGGGAGAUCAGGUCCACUACACGGGUACUGUAGCCCCAUUCGUUGUCGUACCACGACACAAGCUUGACGAAGUUGUCGUUCAAUGCAAUUCCGGCCUUGGCAUCGAAGAUGCUUGACCUGUUGUCACCGAGGAAAUCAGCAGAGACAACAUCCUCAUCGACGUAUCCAAGAAUGCCCUUGAGUUUACCCUCAGACUCCUCCCUGUAAAAUACAGCACCAUCAUUAUUAGUUGGAUUCAGAGAACAAGACCGGAUGCUGCAGGUGAAUGGAAUGAAGGAUUACUUGAUGGCAGCCUUGAUUUGCUCGUAGGUUGCGGCCUUCUCGAGCUUGACGGUCAAGUCAACAACUGAGACAUCAGCAGUUGGGACACGGAAAGACAUUCCAGUCAACUUGCCGUUGAGUACUGGGAGAACCUUGCCCACAGCCUGAAAUGGAACAACUAUUGAGUACUGACUCGCACAAUUACAAAGUGGAGAUCAAUAUUGCAAGAAGCUCUCUAAUUAGUAUAAUACCUUGGCAGCUCCAGUGCUGCUGGGAAUGAUGUUGAAGGAAGCGGCUCUUCCGCCCCUCCAGUCCUUGUUUGAUGGCCCAUCAACAGUCUUCUGGGUGGCUGAAACAAGAGAAGAUAGAAAACCAAUCAGAUUACAAUUACACAAUAAGCAAUCAAAUAGAGAUAUAUAUAAACUUAAACCUACCAGUGAUAGCAUGGACAGUGGUCAUGAGACCCUCAACGAUUCCGAAUCUGUCAUUGAUAACCUGCAACACACCAAAAGCAAACAAAAUCAGAACCAAUAACUAGACAUUUUCGUUAUUGAUUCAAUAACUAGUGGAUGGCAAGCUUUACCUUGGCCAAAGGAGCAAGGCAGUUAGUGGUGCAGCUAGCGUUGGAGACGAUGUCAAGCUCUGGCUUGUACUCAUGCUCGUUGACACCAACAACAAACAUGGGUGCAUCUUUGCUUGGGGCAGAGAUGACAACCUUUUUAGCACCACCCUGAACAAAAGGAACCAACAAACACUUAAGAUCCAAUCAACAAUUCAACAAAGUCUUAAAUCAGAUCUGAAGCAUCAUUGAAUCCUAACAUCAAGUCAAAGAUAGUAAACGCUGAUCCUGUAUGAUACAUCCAAAAUCCAUCAAUCAACGAAAUCAAACAUAGCACGAACCUUCAAGUGAGCUGCGGCCUUGUCCUUGUCAGUGAAAACACCGGUGGACUCAACUACGAAGUCAGCACCAACUGAGCCCCAUGGGAUCUCCUCAGGGUUCCUGAGACCGAAAACUUUCACGUCCUUGUCGCCGAAGGAAAGGGUGCUCUCAUCCUUCACCUUCACAUCACUGUGCUUCCAGUGACCGUGAACGGUAUCAUACUUGAACAUGUAAACCUACAUCACAAACAAUAUAUAACAACCGAAGUCUCAGCCAACCAGAUCUAUCAACUCAAUUUCCUCCCGAAGUCAAACUAGCAGAGAUUCAAAAAACAAGCUGCAUACCAUGUAAUCGGUAGGGAUGAAAGGAUCGUUAACAGCGACGAGCUCAACAUCGUCUCUCUGAAGAGCAACCCUAGCAACCAAACGACCGAAACGGCCGCAUCCCACAACACACACACCAAUCGUGUCGGAGGUUGAAAGCAACGAAGAGCUUACCCAUUGAGAUUGACGAGAAAGGAGAUUUGAAAAUUCGACGGAGAAAUCGAGAAGCUGUGAAAAUGGAGAUUUGAAAGUGUGAUACAAAGUGAAGAAGAGCUGGGGUAUAUAAAGGGAGGGUUUAAGCCAGUAAUCACGUGAGUGGGAGGGUUUUUAUUUUCCUUUUUUAUUUUUAUAUUUUGCCUUGGGGAAGAAGAAGGAUUAACGAAGCCCGCCGGUUUUAUUAAUUGCUGUUUAUGGUUUGUAUUCGCCGCUGAUUAAUCGCCGUUGAUUAUAGAAAGAGAGGGAUGAGCCCACGCGCUGCAUUCCAGUUUCAGCUACACGCGUCAUAAAUUGUUCCCAAGAAGGGAGUAAUUAAUAUCAUGUAAGUCUCUUUUUUUUUGCAAAAUUAAUGAUGGUUUAAUUAAUAACAUAAUUAAAAUGAUCGGAGUUUAGGUAAAAUUAUAAAAUUAGAGUAUUGAAAAGAAAUUAAUUUGACAAUUUUAUUUAAAAUUUAAUCAAUAUAAAAGUAAAAUUAUUUAAAUAAUUCUGAGUUGACUCAUCCUUAAUUUAGUUACAAAUUUAAUGAAAGAAAAAUAUAACACUAUUUUAAUUAUAAUAGAAUGUAACAUAUGCGUAAAUUUUACUUACAUCUCCUUAUAAAAUAAUAAAAAUACACAAAAUUAUAUUGUAUUUCUUCCAUUGAUUACUAACAAUAUUAAAUAUAAUUCAUUGUAGCCAUUAAAAUUUAAAUACACAUAAAAAUACAUAAAAAGUGUGAAAUAACCGGCAUAAGCAUCUAAAUUGGAAAAAAAUGGUGGCAUGACUUAUACUUUCAAAAAUAAACCAAUAUAGAAUCUUAUAUAUAAUAAUGUACCAAAAAAAGCGACUUUCAAUCCAAGGAAAAAUAUUAUAAUUAUAAUAAAUAAAGCUUGGGGUUCGGAAGGUGGGGGACAAUCGCCUUUUGUUGAAAGUGGACACGUAAGUGCAAGAUGAAAGGGAUAUUCCGAAGGUUGUCGAGGAUUUAUUCCAUGGGCCAUGUCGGACUGUCCGAUUGGGCCCAAAGCAAAGUUGGUUCGUCAAACCCAAACAUAGCACGGAAUGAUCUAGAAAGUGUCUCGGUAACGAAUGUGAAUGUAUCUAUUUGACCUAAAGCCAGGAAUGCAUCUUUCUGUGGCUGCAAAUUCCUUGCCCUUCAAACAUUUAUGCAUCUUUCCAAAAGAGGAACAGUCAAUUUCAUCAUCUACAAACGUACGUACUACUUACACAAGUCCACGUAGAGUUGGCAUGAGUAGAAUAGUUUUGAUGAUAGAAAUGUUUUAGAAAAUCUAUAUAGCACCACUAGCGGUGGAUGCUCACAAAGCAGUUUUCUACAGCUCCGCACCCGGAUCGGUAAUAGAAUCAGGAUGGUCGUAAAUUAUAGGCGGAGGGAUCAAUAUAUUUUGAAAAUGAGUUGAGUUGGUUUCACCCUCAAUUCUCUUAUCGCUCGUGGGUGAUAACUAUAGCGAAGUAUUAUUUGAUGGUGACAAUUGAGUUCUCACUAGAAAGAGAAGUAUUAAUGAUUUGAAUAUACAUUUUGAUAUGAUAACUAAAAAGGAAGAUAAUGAGUAACGUACAUCUAUCAAGUUAUCUCGCACUAUUUACAUAUUGAGUAAUUAUUUCUUUGCAGUUUGCACCACUCUUGUGUCUUGAUCGCCUCUAAGUUUAUACCUAAUUAUUAUAAUCAGAGAUUAUUACCUAAUUAUUACAAACACACUUGAUCACCUCUAAUUUUUUACACUCAUUAUCGAAAAAAUUUAAUCACAGUAAUGAGAAAAAAUAUAAAAAAUUAUUUCUUACCGAUAUACUAAAACUUCAUAAAUAAUAUCUUGAUCACCUCUAAAUUUUUACCUAAUUAUUAUAAUCGGAGAUUAUUACCUAAUUAUUACAGAUACUUGAUCACCUCUAAACUUUUACACUCAAGAAAAUUUCAUCACAAUAAUGAGAAAAAUGUGAACAAUUACUUCUCAUCGAUAUACUUCAAUUUUAUAAACAAUAGAUUUCAAUGCCGAAAAUUCUUUCACAAUGGGCUGCAGGGAUCUAAGGAUAUGUAUUAGUAUAUGGGCCGAGAAGGCAUAUAAACUGAAGCCCAAACUGUAAAAUCAAAAACAAAAUAUGAAAAUUCUGGCUUCGCCCGGGUUCGAACCGGAGACCUUCAGUGUGUUAGACUGACGUGAUAACCAACUACACCACGAAACCAUUGAUAUUAAAGUGUAAUCCUUUUAUUAGUAGUAUACGGAAAACUAGGUUGGCAGCCGGACAAUAUUGACUGUGAUCGUGGACGAACCUUCUCCGCGUAAUCCUGAGAAUCCGUUUCCCAUCCAAAGCCCAAAAACCAGCACAAGAAUAUAUACUUUCACACAGUCAGAUCAGAUCUUUCUUUCUCAAUUACUUUUCCAACUUUGCUUUCCUUCUACGCACAAUCUCCUCGUUUGAAAGUUUCCUUCUUUUAUCUCGCUCUCUCCGCAACUCAAAACUGCACAAACAUGUCUACUGCGUCAAGAUGGAUUCGACCCGAGGUAACGCCGAUCCCCCAUGUCUCAAUUUUCACUCUGGUUGCUCUGGUUUCUCGAUGAUAAUGAUAAAGAAACUCUAUUUUGUACGUCAGGUGUUCCCUCUGUUUGCUUCCGUGGGUGUCGCCGUUGGGAUUUGCGGGAUGCAGCUCGUCAGGAACAUCACUGGCAAUCCUGAAGUCAGGUAUAUUCAGGGUGUUUCAGGGUUUAGGGUUUUUCUGAUGAUUGCAUUUGUGGGUUUAGCCGUUUAGGGUUUUCUGAUGAUUGGAUUUUGUGGUACUGUUUAUGGAAUUUAGGGUGACUAAAGAAAACAGGGCAGCUGGGAUUCUUGAUAACCAUAAAGAAGGUGAGAAGUACAAAGAACAUGGGCUGAGGAGGUUCGUUCGUACUAAGCGCCCUGAGAUCAUGCCAGGGAUCAAUGGCUUCUUCUCCGAUCCUCAGCUUCCAGGCCGUUGAACUGGUCCGUGUUCAGCUUUAUUAGUUUUAAUGAUCACAUUGAGGUUUCUCAAUGAUUGGAUAAGACGGAUCAAUUCUUUGCAGAUGCUGCUGAAGAACUUGUUUCUCUUUUGUUGCGGUAGAAGUUUAUGAUUUAGAAUCGAUAUGGAUGAUUCAGACAGAUCAAUUCUUUGCAGCUUGAUUCUGCUGAAAACCUUGUUUCUCUGUUGCGGUUUUAAGAUACGAUUGGAAUCCGCGUGGGUGAAUAAUAAUAAAGUUUGAUUCUUUGCAGCUUGAUUGAGUUGAUGCUGUGAUAUUUGUUUCUUUCCUUGCAGUUUGAGUUUUGGAUUAGAAUCUACGUAGCUGAAUCAGAAAGAUCAGUUCUUUUGCAACUUCAUUGAUCGAUUGAUGCCGUGAUACAGGUUUCUUAUUUCAAGGUUCCAAGAUAUUAUCAGGAAUCAUUGUGGAUGAAUACGUAAGAUUGCUUAUUUGCAGCAUAAUCGAUUGAUGCUAUACUUUUUCCUUUUGUUUUGGGUUUAAGAUACAAAUUAGAAUCAAUGUGGAUGAAUAAGGAAGAUCAAUUCUUUUGCAGCUUCAGUUAUGGUUGUGUCAAGCUUGUGUUCAUUUGCUGCAAUUGAGAAAAAUUAGAAUUGAAAUUGAUACAGUAAACAUCUGUUUUUUUCUUCUAAAUAGGGAUUCGGUAUGAAUCCAGAUAAAACGGAACUUCUUGAUCCAUCACCUGCGUCGUUUGUGUUGCAUGUCAUCGAGGAAUCUGAUGUUGGAGAUUGUGCAUCCCGUCGAUUCGUUCAUGCUGAACAAUUGAAUAUGACUACAGAUCGACUUGUUUCUUCCCGUUUGAUCCUUCUGUUUCACUUGGACGUGUAUGUCCAAGACACUCUUGCCACAGGCACAUCCCACCAGAUUGUGGACAUCGUAAAUAGAGUCUGAAGCCUAAUCACCAAACUACGAAUAAAGAACAGCUGAAGAAUAAUUCCGAGUAUUUUGCCCGGGUUGUGAUUUUUUUCGAUGGUAUGCUGAGAUAAGGAGCUGUAGGGGCAUAUGUAGAUUCACAAGGUUAAUUUUGAAGGUAUACUGAGAUUUAGCAAUGGUGGCUGCUGCAGAUACACAAUGUUAACACUCUCGUCUCUUGGCAAUCCAAGGCCUUCUCUGCUUGUUUUCUGCUGUGAAUCUUUUAUUCACAUUCCUCUGAACUACUAUUCUUUUGUAACGGUAAACCUGAAAGAGGCUCAAAGGUACAAAUAUUUACAUAAUGAGCCCUAACAUCUGGACAAGCUACAAGCUGUAUAAUAAAUACACUUGGAGAUGAGAUUACAUAUAGCAGAAGAGCACGGAGUUUUAUUAAGAUUAUCAGAAUUCAUGACUGUUUUUAUCAAUUCACUCCUCGAUACAUGGCACCGGGUCGAAGAUCAUCCAUACUGUCGAUGUUUCUGUAGCCGUCAACCUCCCUUAGACAUGUCCAUCCCCUUCGGCUCAGAAACUCCCGGUAGUCGUCCUCAGUAUAGAACAGUUUCUCCUCGGUGUGAACUGGAAUGUGGUCCGUUUCGUCGUACAAGCACACUUUUAUAGCCAAACCUUCGUCGAGGUGAAGACUGUAGUUCCCCAAAGGCAUGUCCCGGUCGAGGCUGCGUAUUACUUGGUCUUCAUCUUCCAGCCAGAACGCCCGUUUCGUUCUCAAUCUGAAAGCCGACCUGAUAGCCUCCUUGAUGGCAUCAGCGGUGCCAUCGAUACCGAUCUUUCUCAAGUAGUCUCCAUAUUUGACUGAUAUCACCCUCCCGCCAUAUGACUGACUUUCGGAGCCUGCAUAACAGAAACAAAUGUCCUAAAGACACCAACCAAAUAACCGCGAAAAAUGAAUUCCGGUUAAUGUAUAUUCCUCACCACUUGCAGGGGUUUCUCUCCAGUUCCAUGGAGGAACUCCACUUGCUCCAACAGCAUCGGUUGCGGUGAUUGCAAGAGGAUGACCGUCAUGAUCCAAGCGUCUUUCAAGAUUCAGUGUUGGCC